GAUUAAGAAAAUAUGCUUCUGCCGGUGGUACUCUUAUGACAAUGUUUAUAGUAUGCUGCUGUAUGGUGCGUCUAUGAUUGGAAGCAAGCUCGAGACCGAUUCAAUAACUACCAUGCCCCCAUAUGUCUGCUGUGCUGUAAUGUGCGUGCUGCUUGGUAUAUAUAUGGUGUGCUUUAUAUUGCAACUCUUGGUCUGGAAGCACUUGGUUUCGCUUUCUACGCAACAAUUCUUUUCAGGAAACGUUAGGUGCCGGCCAAGGCCGACAAAAUGUGGGCUGUGGCACCAGAAAUCCAGAAAGAUCUAGAUGACCUAAUCAAGCUUUGCAGGUUGUUGAUGUGCAGGCUUUGUUUGUCUCACUCGAUCAGCUGUUUGCUGGGAAUAAAUGCAUAAGUAUGCUGUAUGCGUUAGAUUCCGGCUGGUGUUGUUUAAGGGCCACUGGUCAAGGCAUUAGCUGAACCUGGGCAGGUUCUGUACGUGCUAUAGUUUAUGGACAUUUUAUGCUGGUAGAUGGAUACUGGUACAGAUAAUUGUAUCCUGGACUGUGACCCCAAGCUAAGAAAGGUUGUGACUUGCACACUGGAUUUGGUGCCUGGUUUUGCUUUUCUAGGUUGGCACUGAGGUCUACAGCCACAAACAAAGUCGAAUAUUUGGAUUUUUACGACCAAAAACAAAGUCUUAUUCACUUGUACCAGCUGUUAACAUAUCCUUUUCACUUUACAUGCCUACUGAUGUCCUUUCGAGCAAGUGCCCAGUAUUACGAGGCUGCAAGAAAUUCAGGCCCCAGGGAGGGGUCUGCUGCUCUGCAUCAUCCCUGAUUUCUUCAGACUUGAAAUCGAAAGCUAGGGAGCAAAUUGGCCAACUUGGGCCCGUGGCUAUUGCUCGUGCUGUCAGCUGUGGUCCUCUAGGAAUUAUUGCCAUGGCGUCAGUGACAGAGGCUGCUCAUUUUUAGCUGCAUUGCGGUUUAAGGAUUCCGACCUUUCUCUGGCCACCAUCCCAAGUGGGCUUUCGUAGGGUUUAACUCAGCGCCAACCUCGGAUCGUCGAGGGCAAUGAUUUGCGCGGAGAACCUCUUGCUCAACUUGCCCACACUUUUAAUUUCAACAACUCAACUAUGAAACCAUCACUAGGCAAGUGUGAACGUUUACACUCAUAAUUUCGAUCCUCGACUAUAUAUGAAAUCGUCCAAUGGGCAAAACUAAUAAUGCAAAUAGCCUCUAAUUAAGCCUACUUUUGUGAACGUUUUUUUAUUCAUAAUUUUGAUGGUCAUGUCACAAGGUUUUCCACCAUGUUGUCAUCCAUUUCAUCACCUUUAUUGAUGUAAAUAAUGCUAACACAUUCAAGGCUAAGCAAAAGGAACAACUAACAAAAAAGUUGUGUCGAGAACCAUUGCCAUGCUACUAUGCUAGCAACAAAAGUCGAAUGCAGACCAGGAUGGGUUACAUUCGUACAAUGUAAGAUGCAAAGUUCAUUGUCUAAACAAGACCAAUGUUUGAGACGGUAAUAUCGUAUUUUCCCGGCUCGUGCUAGCUAAGCCUGUCAGACUGUAAACGACCGCAAUGGCUGUAUCCAAGGUACCUUGAAAAUUCAGAGCCGGAACCUCGCGAAUUGAAAUCAAUAUAUAAGCAUGCAAUCUACAACUUGGGGGCGGAUAUUUUGCUCGAUCGUCAUCUCGCCAAGUAGACCAAAAUUUCACAUCAGACUUGUUUGAGAUGGCCGAUCGGUAUAUCAUCAGGGCGGAGACGAGACAAAAACGUCGUGGCCUAGAGCACACGACCGUGCCAUGAGCCGCCGCGAUGUGGCCAUCGAGCACUUGGCGCGCGGAAAAGGACGGCACGACACGGCGCUCCAUCGCUGGGUCGGUUGGUCACUUGAUUGGCAUGGAUCCCACUCUCCCCUCAGGUUCAAUGAACUCGACCUCCCCUCUCCCACCCAAGCACAUCCCCCUCAGGUAUCAGUAUAUCGCCAACUGGUAGGUUUCCUUUUGCUGAGCGAGGACAUAUAUAAACAAAAGAAACACUAAUUUCCUUGCACGAACGACGGACCCCUUGCAUCGGGUGCCAUGCAUUCAGAUUCAGUUGUGAGGAAAUAAUAUGGUUUUGCUGUAGUGGUUGCCAGAAGCAAUUUGAUGAAAGUUUGCAGAAGUUUUUUGUUCUUUUUGGUCGGCGUCCCAUGAGCAGAACAACCAAGCAGUGGCAAAGAUGUGGGGGUCUCGGCCCUGGCAUUAUUAGGACUCCAUUUCGAACAUCGCAGUAGUGUUUACAGGAGUUUCGAUGAAAACCGUGAAAUUCCCGCAGUGAUUCUACCGGACCCCGCGUUCCAAAUGGGCCGCGUCUUGUUGGUUGGGUUCUGUUUGUUUGAGCUGCAGUUUUUGAAUUUUUUUAAAAGCUGCUGCCGGUUAAAAACCAACACUAGUUUUUAAAAUAUGUGUUUAGCUUUCUAAGCUCAAAAGCUACGAAAAACUCAUAAAAGUGAGUUUUCCAGUAUUUCAUAUAAACUCAGUUUUUCUAAACUUCCAACUUGUCAGAAACUGGUUCGAUCGAAGCUUUUUAUACUGAAAAGCUGUUUGCUCAAACAAACAUGAUCUUAAAUGUGUUAUUAUUACUAGCAGCAGGGCUAAUAAGACUCACCUGGUUGCAAAAGUCACCGUGUUUAUUUGUCGUUUAGCGAGUGGCCCAGCGGAUCACCUCUCCAUUUCCAUCGAGAUUAUCUUGGAUCCGAUUAGCUAGACAAACAUACAAGAAUGCGUAAUGCUAUAGUAUAUAAUAUACUAAUUAAGUUAUUAAGUCCAUCAAAUUGGAGGUUACUUAACCUUCUCGUCAACUAACCCGAUCCUAGCUAGGUACACUGCACCCGCCCCCUGCCCCACAUGUACGUGGGUCAAGGACCAACUUGCGGCAUUGUUUAUCUAUCGGCGCUGCAUGCUUAGAUACGUAGCGGUUGGUAUUGUACACCAUUGUUUAUCGAUCGGGGCAGCAAGUUUGCUGCGAUUUCCCGGAGAUAGGGCGACGACAAGAGAGUUAAUUUGCUCUUGUCAGCCGUCAUCGGCAGCGCCUGGCUAGCUAGCAGGCGGCGGGCGCCGUCGUAGUCGGCUCAUGUGUAGGCAGACGGUAGGGCCGUCUCACUAGAAACAUACAGCUGAGCUGGCGGGAGGCGUACUGUACGCGUACGGGCGCCGGCCAGCUUGAUCGCACGGUUACGGCUUGCGGCGAUGCAUGGGUGGAGAAUGGUGGUCGGGUCGGGCGGAUAUGCAUCUUGCACGUGUAUUGCAACUAAAUGGUACUCUCUUGAAUUCUUGAUGCACAUCUCGGACAUGAGUGAUCCCCCGGAUUGCAAAAAGGAGAAAUAGCCACUUGGCAUUGGGGUGGAUCGGAAUCACCGGACAUGGCAGUACCAGGGUUAGCAUGACCGUACCACAUAAGUCACCGGGUUUGUCAUGUAGCGAGUAAAACACCUAGACGAUUCUCUCUCAAUUAUUUCAAAGUUGAGAUUAUAUAUCUGGGAUAUGAUUGUCUAGCACAGGAUAUAUAAUGGAUAUAUACAUUAUAAGAAUGCAAAUGCGUGCGAUACUGCCUAGCUAGAUCCAUCAAAUUGGCCGGUCAUCGCAGGUUUUUUCUAACACCGUCGUCAACCGACCCAGUGCUUAGUGCAUUGCAUCCGCCCCUUGCAGCUUCACAGUCCACCUACACCCACAUGUACGCGGUCAAGCACCAACUUGCAGACAGCACCGUGUGUUGUCACCUUCCGUGCUUAGGUUUAUGUUUGUAUUUUGAUGCGUAGAAUCCUCUUUUCACACUCUGACACACGUAUGCUAACUCGUGUGCGCAAUUUGCAGGAGUGGUGGUUUGUGGUCUCUAGAGACCUGGUUUGUCUUCACGUGCGUGCAUCAUUUUAACCUCUCUUCGACCGAUCGAUCGACGGAAUCGGAAAGAUUGCGCUCGUCACCGGCCGGCCAGCGCCUAGCUAAACGGACAGGACGUCGUCAGCGUGGCCGGCGGCCCGCCGGCGCAGGCCGUUAAACUAGAGACGCCAUUGCUGGAUGGGACUGCCUGCAACAGCUAGCUAGAAGAUCUUUGAUCGCACGAGUCAAGGCAUAUCACAUUGUUCAUCAGUAAUAUUUUAGUAUUUUGUUUUUAGAUAUUACUUAGUUCAUAGAUUUUUUAGCAUUUUCUCUACUUGUUGUAUUAACUUAAAUGGUUCAUUUUUUGUCGUGUAGCGAUCGAGUAACCUGAUGGAUUUCCUCUCCAUUUCCAUCGACUCUUCAAGAUCCUACUGCAUACCUAGGACAACAUCCUAGUACUAUAAGAAUGUGCACCAAAAGUACCAGAUAAAUCCAUUAAAUUGGCGGGUCAUUGGAGGUUUUCCCAAACACAUGUGUUAAAAGAGAUGUAUUAAAGUUUAACACCUCCAAUUUCAUAAACACCUCAUGGGGGGUUAAAAUUUGUUAAACUUGUUAAAAGUGGUCCACCUCUCCAUUUUUUCCCACCAUUGCCCCCUCAUUUAUGGCCGACGGAGAGAGGGAGGAGAGAGAAGGGGCAAUGGAGUCAUUUCUCACCAAAAGUGUUAAAGUUUAACACACCAUCAAAACACCCAAAUGUGUUAAACUUUAGCACUCCAUUUGUGAGUGUUAAAACUUUAACACUUGUUAAACUUUAACAUAGGGUAUCCAAACAUACCCAAGUUUACUUUCCGGCUCCCACAUAUGUACGAGGUCAAGGACCAACUUGCGCCACUUGUUGUUAUUGGCACCGCGCGCUUACUGGGUACCAUGCCAUUAUGCAUUGCACACAGCUAGCUGAGCGCCUUUUGCAUUGGCACCUGCGCUGCUCAAUCGUCAUGACACGUAUAUACGACUGCAUCACCCAACGCGAGGUGAGCGAGGGAAGCGUAGGGACGGCGGCCAGGAGCUAGCUAGUCGAUCGGCAGCCGGAGCCGGCGGCAAGUCCAUCGGAUAGCACGCGGCCCACGUCUGGCGACGAGCACAAGUAGCAGGCCGGCAACUGCGGGGGCCUUAACUAAACGUGGGCUAAAUGGGCCUCCUCGACCGCCGGCCGAUCGGGAGCUAGUUUUCUGAUUCACGCGUAAUUGGGCCUCGACAAAAUGUGAUUGGGCCUCCUCUUGGCCCAUCAGCCAAUAAGUUCAUAAAUCAUAGGUUCGGGUCCGUACGCUCUCGGGCCCACAGCCGUGCUGACCGGGCCGAACCGAUCUGGGCGCCGUCUCCUUUCCUUCGUCGUCGCCGCGGCGGCUCCCCGGCCGGUUUGUGGUGGCGCGUUCAGAGCGAGCGUGGGCGCCGAGGACUCGAUCAAACUAGGCGAAUUCGGAAUCGGAAUGGUGGCAGCGUUAGUUAUUACAUCGAUCCAUGGCACUUUGCUCGAACUGUUCCCGGGGGCACAUGCGGUCUGUUUGCUUCAGCUUAUUCAGCUGGCUUAUCGACCACCAAAUAGUGUUUUUCUCUCACAACAAAUCAGCCGUUUCAACUUUUCAGCCGGCUUAUAAGCUGAAGCGAACAGUCAUGUUUUUCGCAAAGCUGACUGCUCUGACGAUCCUGCACGUCCUGAGCGGAGUGACUUACGUUUGCCGGCCGGAAGCCAGCAGAGGCGUCGGAGAAUUAAAAAAAAGAAGCUCCGGUAACAUUGCCCCCACCCCACAGAGGGAUGCAAAGGUGCUCAUAGGGAAAUGCCUUGGCUACAUUGUCACUGAAGAAGACUGAUAGGAGAUGCCACAGAGAAACUCUCUACAGCUCUCAAAGCUGUUUCCGACAUCCAUUGCUUGCUGCAAAUCUGCAGCAUUGCUGUUUCUUAUCAAUAAUCGUCACACAGAAUGGAUAAUUAACUUGGUCGGUUCAACACUUGCCGAUCGAAACGCCUGUUUUGCAUUCAGGUCCUGCUUUAACCGGAGUUAAGGCAGCGUAAGCAUCCUCCCCUGGUGGCCCAAUGCAUCUGCAACCUCUCGCUGAAAAAGCCGAGCCGCAGAUGUAGCAGAAGGCAGUGCCACACCUGCAGAUCACAAGAAGAGAUGGACAUCAUGUACUCUUAUCAUACGGAUAGAGGUGAUCAAUUUCCACGAAGGAAAAAAAAAUGCUGAUCAAUUCGUUAACUGAAACGACUCCUGCGGAGACUGAAUACUAACUAGCAGAGUUGCAGUGAUCACGGAUUCACAGGUUUGCAAAAACGAGAAGAAUCUGUAGUGAGUCGAUAAUUACCUGCACACUAUGUGCCUGCAACCGCCGGUCUUGUCGAUCAUGGCGCGGCAGCUCGGGCAGCGCGUCCAAUUCCGCCCAUCGGCGAGCCGGGACAUCACGCAACCUUCGCCGCCGUGGCGCUCGUCCCACGGCCCCUCGCACUGCAGGCAGAACGCGCGCGAGCAGGUGGGGCACCUCGCCUCGGUCACGGCGGCAUCGGCGGCGUCGAGCACCAGCAGCUCGCCGCAGCCCCGGUAGGGGCACCGCGCGCGGGCCGGCCCGACGGCGCGCUCGCAGAGCGCGACGCACCAGGCGUCGAAGACGUCGAUGUCGAGCAGCUUCUUGCACGCCUCCGGGUGCAUGGCGCCGUCGCGGCACCCGGGCUCCGGGCAGGGCACGGGCACCGCGCCGUCCGCGACGCGCCCCUCGAUGUAGUGGACGACGCACUCGAUGCAGAACUCGUGCGCGCAGCCGGCGCGGAACCGGUCGAACACGAGCCUUGUCUCCAUGCAGAUCCCGCAGCUGAACCAGCCGAUCUCGUCGUCGGUGAGCGGAGCCACGCGCGGGCGCGACGACGACGGGCCUGGCACGGAUCCGCGGAUGAGCUCCUGCAGGUACGCGUCGUCGUCGGCGCCGCGCCCUCCCGCCGCGUUCGCCAUGGAAUGGGAGUGACCGAGAGGUGGGUGGGGGGGAAAGGCGAGGUGGAUCGGCGAAAGACGAAAAGGCAGUGGUGGACUCGUGCAAGUCCUCGUCAGUCGUCACUCGUCAGUUGCGAACGUGCGGUGUGAGCAGUUUUCCGGGUUCCUGGUUCCAGCAAUAUAGAAUUUUUUUCAGAAAAAUAUUUAAUGAAGUCGAAACCAAAUCCAACGACUUAACGGCAAACAUCAACGCCAAGACAAAAGGAAAAAAACGUUCAGAAAAAUAUUUAAUGAAGUCGAAACCAAAUCCAACGACUUAACGGCAAACAUCAACGCCAAGACAAAAGGAAAAAAACGAAAAUGAACUUAACACUAGCCGCAUACAUCAACGUCAAAUUAAGAUAUUGGCCAACUGUCACAAACAAAAUUACUAAGAAUCAACGCUUACAUAAAAUAUUUACAUGAAGAAAUCAUAUCUACCGAAGAUGUGCACACCAACACCUAACAAAGAUCUAUGUAACACAAGCGUGCACAAUAUAACCUAACGAGAGUAAGUAGGGAGAUCGAGAAGAGUUAGGAAAAACUAGGGAGGAACCAAUUCUCCGUAGCCUUACAACGACAGCGAUGUGCUAACCCUAACGCAACAAACCGCAGGGUAAAAAGAGAGAGCUGAGCUAAGGCAACACAAAUAAGAAGUGCGGGCGGUAACCCUAGUGCUGGGGAGUGGGUAGUAGUCGCUCACACAACCGGGCUACAUGGUACGUACUGCGCAAAUUAGACCCAACAAAAUGUGCAAGUGAAAGGAGAGAGAGUUGCGAGCGGCAAACCUAGUUCUUAUUUGCUUCGCGGUAAACCUAGUGCUGGUGAGUGGGUAGUAGUCACACACACAAUUGGGCUAUAGGUACAGGCUGCGCAAAUCAGGCCCAACAAAAUGUGCAUACCACACUUAAAAGUGCAAAUCAUGCCUAAUAACAUGUGCAUGCCACACUUAGCCACUUAGGUAGCCUUCGUUGUUUACAAACACAUUUCAUUUGUAUUUCUCGAUAGCUAGGCUAGCGACCUCCUUUUGCAUUUCAUGGGUUAGAUAGGGUGGGGGUUGAUCACAUGACCUAACAUGUUCGAGUUUUUUAUUCCUUGCAUUUUCCACUUAAAUCCCUAUUUUUCAGCAACAUUGAAAUUUUUUAGGGAGAUAUGUUUAAUGAAGUUCAAACCAAAUCAAACUACUUAAACUGCAAAAAUCAACGGCAAGAUAGGAAAAACACGAAAUCGAACUCAACACUAGCCGCAUCCACCAACGUCAAGUUAAGAUAUUCACAAAAUCAAAUUAUAAAUCUAGUUAGUAGACCUCACAAAUAAAAUCAACAAGUAAAAGAAUCAACGCCCACAUAUGAUAUUCACAAAGAAGAAACCAGAUCUACACAAGAUGUGCACACCAAAACCUAAAAAAAUCUAUGCAACAAUGCAACACAAGGUGUGCACAACAUGACCUAACGAGAGCAAGUAGGGAGAUUGAAAGGAGUUAGGGAAACUUAGGGAGGAACCAAUUCUCCUGCAUCCUCCCUACCUGCAAAUACAGGGAGGAAGGCAGGGCCACUUCCCGUAGCCUUGUAAUGACGACGAUGUGGCGGCGCCCUAACCUAGCGCAACAGUCGCGAGGUGAGAGGAGAGAGCUAAGCUGAGGCGGCACAACUAAGAAAUGCGGGAGGUAACCCUAGUGCCUAGGGAGGAGGGGUAGUUAUUGUCUGCACAACUAGGCUAUGGGUAUGGGAUGCUCAAAUCCAGCCCAACAACAUGUGCAUGCAACACUUAAGGUAUAGCUUGUAUUAUUUAGAAACACAGUCCAUCCAUGUUUUUGGCUAACUAGGCCCACGACCUCCUUUUGCAUUGCGUGGGCCAGGCUAGGGUGAGGUGGCCACAAAACCAAACAUGUCCAUGGUGCCAGGCAAAUGCACGAGUACCCAGUGACAACUUGAUGAUUUUAUCCGAGUUGUCACCCAAAUUUCUAACAAAUCAUAACCAACACGACAUAUUACUAGUCAGAAUUGUAUGGACUAGCGGUCAAUAUUCGGGUGAAAAAUAGCUUGUGAUUUCACUCAAAUUCUUUGCUGGGAUUCAAUGCAAUGGGAUAACAAAUGCUAAUGGAAAAUGUAAAGCAUUUUUUAAUUAACCAACCUGCAAUGGUCCUCAAUACCCUUUUCUGCAUAGACUCGUAGAUCUUUGUCAGCUUGCAUUGCUACCUAGAGUGAAAAGGCUGCUAUAUUGAAUUUCAUUCUAAACAUAAGACACAUUUUUUCUCACUUUCUUGAUUCCUUUAACUGUAAAAAGCUGCAAAUUAUGUGCUUCUUGAUUCAUGUCAAGACGGAAGCAUUCUCUUUGUGGUUGGAUCAUAUAUGUGCAUACCGUUUCCCCUAGCUAGAGGACACACUUGAUAAGUCUUGAAAACCAUUAGAUAAUACAAAUAAAUAAAUAUUAAACGAAAAAUGAUAUAUAUAUUUUUAAAAAAUCUAGGGGAUGGGAAUACAACUUGACUUGGAGACAAAAAAUAUGAGUGAUAAAAAGUACAAACAAGAUAUAGGGCCUAGCUCUUGCUGCAAAGAUGAGCCAAAUUAAUAAGCCGCAUGAAAAAAAAGGAAGAUGGGUAAAUUUUCCACAAAGAGUAUUCCUACAAGAAAACAACAAGCAAUCUUCGUCAUAUAUGGGGACAAGAUAAUAUUCUUUAAAAAUCCACAAUGGUAGAAUACGAUAUGAGGAGAGAAUGCAAAAUAAGGAAUAUAGAAGAAAUACAUCAUCAGGAAAAAAUGCAAUCAAACCACUAGAAAUAAAUAUGAGGAAAAAAUUAACGAAACAAGAAAUAUAAAAAAACAUCGGGGAACAAAUCCUUAAACCAAACCUUGUCAUCGACUACAUCAGUCAUCACCAAUAAAAACCUUAACAUGUUUGGUUCAAGGGUUGAAGUGGGUUGGGACGGAUCCGACCUAGAUGGAUCUGUGUUUGGUAGAAAAGUGAAGUGAGUUGAGUCCAUCCUUGAGGGGAAUAUUCCCCUCAGAUCUAGGUCUAAUCCAUCUCUCCAAAACGAAGGAAUGGACUCGACCCACUUGAACGGCGUCUCCUCUCUCCCUCUUCGUUCCUCUGCAUUGCCUGUUCCUAUGCACUCGAGGAUGUGUGGCCGUGGCGGGGAGGAUGUGUGGUGGCUGGGGCUUGCGCAGCCAUGGCGGGGAGGAGCGGGCGGCCACGGAGGGGAAGAUGUGCGGUGCUGGCGGGGGAAUGUGCUGAGCAGGGAGAGGACGACGGGCAAAGGAGGAGGACGACGUCCGACGCGGCACGGGGCUUGCGCGAAGGAGGAGGGCGACGGCCGGCAUGGCGUGGGGCCUGCGUAAAGGAGGAGGGCGGGUGCAAGCGCGAGGGCUCGACUGACGGGGGAAGGCCUGCCGCCGGCUGGCACGGCGUGGCGCGGAGGAGGAGGGCAGGUCAUGGCUCCACUGGGGCUCGGCUGGCGGGCGGGCGGUGUGGCACGAUGUGAAGGAGGAGGGCGGUGACGGCCGUGUGAGGGAGGCGCAAGGAGCCUGAGGAAGAAGAUCCGCAGAAGAAGAAAAAAAAGAGAGGCUGACGGGUGGGCCCCACGGAUGACAGGUGGGGCCGCUGAAAAUUAUUGCUAAUGUUAAAUUGGCAUCCAUCCCACAUCUCUCAACCCCUCCAACCAAACAAAAAACUGGGUCGAACCCAACCCUCUCAACCAAACACGAGAUGGGUCCAACCCAACCCAAAAAAGUGGGACGGAGCCAACCCAACCCACUUGAUCCCAAACCAAACAUAUGCUUAAACAUCCGACCAUUGGCUCAGUCAAGUGUAAUCUAAGUAGUACUACUACUAAUAAUUUUGUACCAUCAGGCGUCAGCAUCCACCGCUCCGCUCCGUCUUACGUCCAGUCAUAACCCCAUACCCUAUUGAUCUGCCACCGCGUGUGCCACCUCCACUCCCUCUCGAUCGUGGCGGCAACGACUGCAGAACCAUGACCCCGUACCCUAUCGUCAACCCCUCUCACCCGCCAAAUGUUCCGCUACCUCUCACCCUCACCUCCAUUCUCGGGCAGACACACUGCCUGGAGCCCUCAUAUGAUCGAUAGUGGCAACGGCUGCAUGUUGUGUGCGGUCCUCCUCGGAGUUGUCCUCCACGCGCCCUCUUUCCCCGGCCAGGUCCAGCGAUGCCAUGGCCGCAUCUCCCCGCACCUGUGCCACAUGUCCAGGUGGGCCUGCCACCCUGCCGCACUAGCUGCGUUGGCACUUGGCACCCACCUACGCCACAGCCCGCUCGCUAGCCGAGCCGCUGAUUUAGACCUUGUUUGGAGACCGCAACUAAAAUUUAGCUGGCUAAAAAUUAGCUUUAGGGACUCCAAAUGGGUGAUGAACUAAACUUUAGUUCUACCCUAACUAAAAUUUAGUUCAUUAUUCCACAAAACCCAUCUAAUUCCAGCUAAAAGUAGCUAAUAUGUAGCAAAAGUCACUUUUACCCACCCCACCAUCCCAUCCCUCCCCUUUCUCUCUUCUCUCCUACUCAAGGGUAAAUGGAUUUUAUGCAUCUCCUAGUUGCCUUUUAAUCCUAGAUCCAAACAGGAUAGCUAAACUUUAGUCAUCUAAAAGUAUUGGCUACUUUUAGCCAACUAAACUUUAGUCCCAACUAAAAAUUACUUUUAGAUGAUCCAAACAUGACCUUAAUUUGCCCCAAGGAGGAGCUCGUGGUGUUGCUCUCGUGCUUGGCUGGAAGCUGCGGCUGGCUGCUUGUGCGCUUGCUGUUGCUGAUUUGGGAAGUGGGAGCAGAGAAGUGGAGCUGCAGUGGAUUGAGCUGCAGUGGAUUGAGGAAUCGAGCAGGAAGAAGGAUUGGGAGGAGCUAGCGCUUGUGCACUGGUGCUUCACUGCUUGGCGAUGGAUUGCUGCUUGGUUGCCUUGGAGAACAAGAACAGACGGAGAAUGCUCACGUGCGUUUGAGGGAGAGAAAGCGAGACACCAAAGUGCGUUUGAGGGAGAGACCAAAGUGUUUGGGAGACGGAGAGAAAGAUAGAGUAGAGAAAGCACGUACCUUUUCUCGUACAACCAUUAAAAAAAUAUGUUAAAACAGCUAUUACUGUUUAUAUGUAAAAUUGUUAAUUUGGUAGUUCCAAGAUAUGAAUAAUAUAGAUAUGAGUGAAAAAGAUAGGAAUGAAAAUGAGAGUUUGUUAGGGUGCGCAGAAAAGUAGAGAAUUGGAAUGUGGAUGAAUGACCCUCAUAUGGAGGAGUUUAGGAAUAGGAACUCGGAUCUGAGAGAUCGGUUGGAAUUGCUCGUACUAAGUUCUUACAUAUGAAAUUAAUUUUGAUAAAAGACACUAUUUAAAAUAGUGAUGUAAGGGGUGGGCUUGUAGAUCGUCCUAAAGUAUGAUGAUUUGUAUUGACAUAAAUACCUGAAUUAACUAUUAAGUUAUGUUUUGCCUGUAGGAAAGCACAUAUAUUUAUCUAGUAGUCUACAAACACCAAUAACUAUAAGUCUCCAAACACCAAUAAUCAAGAAAGCACAUAUAUUUAUCUAGUAGUCUCCGAACACCAAUAAGUCUCCAAACACCAAUAGUCAACUAUGGAUAUCAGAAAUCGAGGACAGAGAAAGUCUAAACUUGUCCCCCAGCAACAAUAGAGAUGAUUAUGUGCAAAAUGGAGUGAUGAUUAGGUGAGGAGUCCGGCAUUGGAUGUGGCGAGGCCCCUACUUUGUGUUUUCAUGGUUGCGACUGCAAGACAACCUUGAGUGAUCCGGAUCUGAUGGAUUUCUUUGGUCAAUUUGGGAGUUGAUUUUGCAGCAGCACUACAGCGACGAUUUCCUGCAUGGUGGCGACCUUUCUCACCAUGGCGCGGUCUACUUCUCCUUCGAUUUCUGAUGUUGUGAAGCCAUAUCUGGGGUUUUCGACGACUACAUGUGUGUGACCUGUGGAGGAGGAUGAUCUGGUGCUAUGAUGGCGAUUGGCUUUGCAUAGUAACGGCCAUCUCGACGACCGGCGGGCUGGUGUUAUGGUUAUUUGGGAGGUACUCCAUUUUUGGCGCUCGAUAUUUCAAUACAAGCUCGACAUGUUGUGGCGACUAGCGAUGAUAGAGUUAUAGAGUCUUGAGUUUUUUGGUGCCGUGACUUAGUGUUUUUUUUUCUGUUCCUGAUUAGAGCCUCUCUUAGAGUUGUAUUCUUGUAAACUCUUCUUUUAUCAAUGAAUUUAGCACAGUCCCGUUCGUUAAAAAAAAGAAGAUCAGAAAAAAAGGAAGUGAGCUGAGUCAUCACACUCAUUGAUUUUCUAUCUCCAGUAAAUGGAUCGUUCCUAGAACAAGUACCUGCAAAUCCGCGCAAUAGUAGCUACUGUGCACAUAGAGAGAAGCAGAAAAAUCUGCGAAGAAACUUUAGCUCAGCGUAGGAGAGAUGAGGGUCAAAUAUGUAUUGGGCUUGAAAAAUCAACAUAAAUUGGCCCACAACACACAUAGGUGGACUAAUAAAUUAUUUCCCCACCCACAACACGAAUCUAGAAACAAUCACAGCCAUCCAAAACUAAGUGAAAUUGUAAAGAAAAAAAACACCAUGAUAUGUAAAAAUACCUAUGUCGAAUUUUUGUACGAACAACUAAGAACAAAGUUUAUGUUUAACUAGCUUUAAAACUACCUUGAGGAUCGAAAGAUAAAAAUACCCAAAAAAUCAGCUUUAGGAUAUAAACAUAGUAUUUUUACAUGUAGAACAAAGUUUACGUUUAACUAGCUUUAGGAUUGAAAGAUAAAAAUCCCAAAAGGUGAACAUAAAUACUAACUAACAAGAGGUGCAAAUAUCACCAACAUGACAAGUAGCAUGUCUAACUUUAAAACCACCAAAAUAUAUGUCAAUAUCACUUAAUUAAAUACUGCACAAUGAACCAAUAGUCUUAUGCGCACAUCUCCUGACAAAUUGACCAAGUAUUCUUCCAAGCACUCAUCAGGAUGAGGCAAAGGAAGAACACACAGAACAAAAACAGUUUACCAAAUUGACCACCAAAUAGAAGUGCUGAAAUUAAACGGACAGAUACAAGACUUGCUAAUCCAGCAAGCCACCACAACAUGACAUAGGUAAAGCAACCUUGAAUUCAAGGCAAGCGACGAAGCUGUCACAAAUCCAUCAGAUUCCUGAUGCACGUCGGCUGCCCUUCCUUCUCAGCUCCGGCGAGUCGAUGUUGGGGGUUGCGCAGCUUUACUCUUGCCUGAUCGCCUGGGUGGGGGGAGCAUCAAUGGACGUUGCGGCACCGGCACAACUCGGCUCCAUCCUGCAAUGGCAUCAUUGAGCGCCCGCAAUCGUAGCAGAAGACAGUAUGGCACCUGCGGAUGGCAUCGAAACGAUUAUUGAGAAUUAGAGAUUAUCUCUGGGCCAAGUACCGAAGACUGAAUGACUGAUACAUCAAAUGAGUAGAAUUGAUAGAAGAAAUAAAAUGGCAUGCAUAGACUGGGUGUAUGUAAACAUAUAUUGGGAUUUAAAUUGUAUCUCUAAGGUAGAGAACAGCAACUGAAGGCAGGUGAAAAGAAAAAAGCACAGCUAGAAAACAGAGGGAAGGACCUGAUUGUUUAACAUUUUGCAUAUUACAACUAAGAAGAGAGUCUAAAGUAUAAGUUAGCCAUGGCAUUGGACCAUCAUCGAUCCCAACCUUCCCUAGUUUCAAUAGCAGGAAAGCUUUUAUUUUAUUUUAGUCUAUAUAUACGACAACUGCUUCAUGUUCCAAUCUUGCAAAAUUCAAGUAGGACUCCUAGGCAUAGUAUUGGCUUUUUAUGUAAUGAAAGGACAACUUUUUACACAUACCUAAAUACUACUUAUAAACCAUUUACAAAAUCAACUUAUGCUACCGCAUAAAUAGUUUCCUCCCCCGAAAACAGGAUAAAUAAUUGGUAGGAUGGGAAGUAACAGCCAUCAAAUAAAGUAGACUUGAUAGAAGAAAUAAAAUGGCAUGCACAAUCUAAGUCUAUGUAUCUCUAACAUCUGCGCCUAUAUGAACCUCUAAGGUGGAGAAUAUCAACUGAAAGCAGGUGAAAAGAAGAAAAAAAAGCACCCAGAAAAUAGAGGAAGGGCCUGAUUGUUUAGUUUUUGCAUAUCAUAACUACAGACUGUGCUAGGAUGUUUGGAAUGACAUUGAGUCAUCACAACCUUUGACAAAUAUAUUAAGCCCUAGUUUAGAAAGCAGCAAAAUUUUCUUUUAUCUGCUUAUGCGACAAGCUGACGAUGGUUUCAUGUCCAAAUCCUACAAAAUUCAAGAGGGAUUCCAGGCAGUAUUGGAUUUUAUGAAAUGAAAGGACAAUUUUUUCAUACAUUAAGAAACUAUCCUGCAAAAUCAACUUAUGCUAGUGCUAGAUAUGCUCUACCAUUUGCAUGAAGCUAUAUGCUAAUAGAAUCAGGUAUAUUGAUGUUGAAACAUAUAUGGAAAGGUAUGAAGAUCUAAAACAACAACUAAAAUUUCAAAAUGCUGGUAUUGUGCAGUGCAUUUUCAGGUGAGAUGAAGUAAUGAUCUUUUCCCUUAAAAUACCAUAGGAUAAACUAGGCAGUAAUCCAGCUAAUUAAAGCCUUAACAUUGUGUUAAUGAAAGCUAUUGAUAGAUGGAGCAUGUAAUUGAGCAAACACAAGAACUUGAGACAGGUAAACAUAAUAGAAGAAUACCAGGCAUAGUAUUUUAUUUUUAUGUAAUGAAAGGGCAAUUUUACAUGCACUAAAAUUUAUCCUAUUUAUCAAGCAUACGCAAAAUCAACUUAUGCUAGAACUGGUUAGUCAUUUUUAUCCCCCAAAACGAGCAUAAAUAGUUCCAAAUGAGUGCAAUGUUCUACCAUUUACAUGAAGCUAUAUGUUAACAGAAUCAAGUAUAUUAUUAAUGUUAAAACAUAUACGUCAAGGUGUACAAAACCAAACAACAAUUUCCAAAAUGCUAUUAUGCACUGCAUCAUCAGGUUUGAGUAAUAUGCAAAUCCUUCAAAAUGCAAGAAGGAUUCCAGGCGUGGUAUUGGCUUUUUAUGUAAUGAAAUGACAAUUUUUACAUACAUUAAACAAUAUCUUAUUUAUGAACCAUAUGCAUAAUAAGAAAAGAGAGAAUAAACAGUUCCAAAUAAGUAACAAAUAUUGUACCAUUUAGAUGAACCCAUACACUAACAAAAUCAGGUAUAUUCAUGUUGAAACAUAUAUGGAAAUGUAUACAGAUCCAAACCAACAAUUAAAAUUUCAAAAAUGCUAGUAUUAUGCUGCGCAUUGUCAGGUGAAAUGAAGUAAUGAUGUUCCCCAUAAAAUACUAGAAGAUAAAAUUUCAGACACCCCUGUGUUUGAUAGGUAGGAGUUGACCAAACUAAUUCCUUAAACAUUGCAUAAAGGAGAGAUGUUCAUAGACGGUGCAUAAAUAGUUCUAAUAAUUGCAAUGUUCUACCAUUUACAUGAAGCUAUAUGUUAUCAAAAUCUCUUAUACUAUUAAUGUUAAAACACAUAUGGCAAGGUGUACAAAAUCUAAAACAACAGUUUCCAAAAUGCUAUAUAUUAUGCACUGCAUGAUCAGGUGUGAGUAAUGUGCAGAUCCAUCAAAAUUCAAGAAGGAUUUCCAGGCAUGGUAUUGGAUUUUAUGUAAUGAAAGGAUAAUUUUUUACAUACUAAAAAUAACCUAUUUAUCAACCAUAUGCAAAACCAACUUAUGCUAGCGCUAGAUAGUUCUUUUUAUCCCCCGAAAGAGCAUAAAUAGUUCCAAAUAAUUACAAAUGUUCUACCAUUUAUGAAGCUAUAUGCUAAAAGAAUGAGGUAUAUUAAUGUUGAGACAUAUAUGGCAAUGUAUCAUAUAUAUCCAUAGGAUAAAAUGUCAGACACCCCUCUGUUUGAUAGGCAGGAGUUGAGCAAAUACAACAAUUAAUUGAGAUAGGUAAACAUGAUAAGGCAGAGGUCAAUAUGUACCUGCAGGUCAUCACAUCGCAGCCCAUGUUCUUCUCCACCAACAUCCUGCACCUGGGGCAUUGCUUCCACUUGCGCUCGGAGGCGAGCUUCUUCACGAGCAUGGCCUCUGCCCCCUCAGCACAGUCGUGCUGGUCGCUACUAUCGAUGCUCCAGUACAGGCCACACGCCUUGCACAUAAUGCUGUUGCACGCCGGGCACGACGCCUUGGAUGGUGUCUUGUUCGUGCAGGUGGACUCGAGCAUGAUCCUGCACUCACGGUUGGGGCAAUAGAUGCGCAGGCUCGGUGGGAUAGCGUUCUCAGUGAGCUGGUCACUCCAGCUACAGAACACGGCGAAGUCGAUGGACUUCUUGCAGUCCUCCGGGUGCAGGACACCACCGCCAUUUCCCUCCUCCUUGCACGCUGGGUCCGGGCACGGGAUCGGCACCUCACCGGCACGGGUCCUGCCCUCAAUGUAGGUGUCCAUGCACCGAGCACAGAACUUGUGGGGGCACGGCAUGCCGUGGAAGAGGUCAAAGAUGGGAAGCGUCUCGAGACAGAUACCACAAGUGAACUUGGCAACCUCGUCGUCAGUGAGAGGGGCCACCCUUGGCUGCCUUGUUGAUGGUCCAGGUUCACCUGGGCCAAACUCGGAUGGGUGGAGGCCCCAUAUCUUGCUGAUGUCUUGUAGGGACAGCUCAGGGAUGUCUUCUUUGGUCGAGGGAUGGUGGUUGUUGGGCUCCUCCUUAGCGAGUGCCUCCGAUUUGGAAAGUUGUAGCAGCGGGGAUGAUAUUCCGUCGAGUCCUGGAUCCUCCAUAUCCAUCCCCUCCAUCCCUUUUGUCAAAUCCAUCCCUUCCAUCCCCUCCAUCUCUUCCAUCCUUUGAGCAUCACGGACGAUGGAGUCAUACCAGCCAUUGUCAUCCCCUUCCACCAUGCCGGCGAAGACGGCUCGGGAGUCAGCACUGGUGAGUAGAGCCUGCCUUGUUGAGUUGAGAGGAUCAUUGUUGGAAGAGGUUGGCCUCAGUAGCGCUGGUGCUUGAGUCCUUGUUUCCCAAGGGACUGCUCUGAGAUGAUCAUUGUUGGAAGAGGUUGGCCUCAGGAGCUUUGGUGCUUGAGUCCUCGUUUCCCAAGGGACUGCUCUAAGUUGACCAUUGUUGGAAGAGGUUGGCCUCAGGAGCGCUGGUGCUUGAGUCCUUGUUUCCCAAGGGUCUGCUCUGGUUUGGUUGCGCCUUAGCAGGGCCAUGGCAGUAUCUUGGUUGAUAUAGUCCUCAUCGUCAGAUUCGAAGAAGCCAUUGGCGCCUUGUUCUGCCUCGGCAUCAUAAGGGUCUGCUGUUGUGGUGUCAGUAUUGUUCCCGCGGAAGUGGUGCAUCCACUGUUCUAGGGUUAUCACCGGCGGAAGGCGCUCCACGAUAACCUGAUGUUCCACAACCUCCUCCUCCUGCUGCAUGAUGGCAUCUUGCAUGUCCGCCUCGAAUAUGUCUGCUAGGAGCCGCUCUAUGUCAUCCUCCUCCUCCUCCUCCUCCUCCUGCAUGGUGGCGUCCUGCAUACCCACCUCCACAAUGUCCACUGUAGUGGAGGCAUCACGGACGGCUGUUUCUUCCUUCAAAUUUGGUGCAGCCACGAGCUCUUGUGUGUUGUUGUGGGCAUCCUGCAUGCCAGCCUCCUCCAUGUCCAUGUCCAUGACAUGGUGGACGACACCUUCCUCCUUUGACUGUUUCUGGUAGCCCACCAUGAGAUUGUGUUUUUCUUCGUCCAUAACACCUCACCAGAUUUGGGUUUCAGCAGGCGUUAAUUCCUAGACCUUGAGCUGCAUAAUAAUAGAGAAAAUCACCAAACUUUCUAUAAAAGUUUUUUUUUAAUUUUUUUAAAUAUAAAGAAAUGGUAUGUCUCUUCUUCAAGCGAAAUGGUUUCUUAUUUGUAAGUCAAAUUUCAUAGCAAUUGAAUCUAGACAAACCAUCACAUAUUAGUUUCCUUUAACCUAUCUCUCCAUCUCCUCUAACAUAUCUUUUUUUCCUUUUGAUGCCGCCACCCUAACAAAUCGAAAAAUUGCAGGCCCCUCCCCAUCCUUCCACUCCACCUCCAAUCGCCCCCUUUGUCAGACAUGUAGCUGGUGAGGCCUACCGGUGACCUUACUCCUCCUGUCCCAUGCGCCUCUUCUACCCUCGACCAAUCAACAACGUCUUCUUCCACUCCAGAAUGAGUGGCGCAACUUCAUCGCCUUCCACCCAAAUCUGACAGCACAACUUCCAUCAAGGCCAUCACCGUCCACUAUCGGUGCCACUACUCAAUCGGUGAAAGAUACACUGUUGGUAGCCUAAUACCCAUUGGAUGUCCUCCACGAUCUCAUGGUGGAUGCCAUUCUCACUGCCUCGCUGUCUUGCUCCGCAAUACCACCUAUUGGCAAACCUCCUAGGUGCUCCCUCUACUUCGAUCGACAUGGGUAAGCCUCCAACUCGCGCCGCCACCCCCUCCGAAACUCUAACCCUAACCAAAAAUCCCCAUCCCUCAUCACAAAUUCUUGUAUAGAUCUUGAGAGAGAGAGAGGGAAGAGGAGGAUGAAAAGGAAAAUCGAAACCAAAAUUCAUGCUUAAACUCAUCCAGAGAGAGAGAGAGAGAGGGAGAGGAGAGAGAUCACCUCACUGCUAGCUCCGAAGAAGAGCACGCCACCCGCACCCGUGCAGAUCUAUCCAGAGAGCGAGGGAGAGGUGGGAGAGACAAAUAGGGCAACACUGCCCUCCCCAGCCGCCCACGCCAGUUGUUGUGGUUUAGCAGUCUGCCCACCGAUUCAUCUCUAUGUCUCCCCAAUCCAUCUCUCUAUCUAUCUCACUCCUAAUAUUAAUUAAGUGUAUAUCCCCAGUCAAGAUAGGGUCACGAGGACUGUGAAACGAGGGGACAAUGGGAAAUGACAAGGACAAUGAUGUGUCAAGGAUGGACCGAUGGGGAAAAGGAGGGUAGGGUAUCAAGUAGGUCCCAUGUUUUUUAUGCCAUCACAACAAAAUAUUGUGCGAGGGUAGUCUCAUGACCACUGACCCUUUAGUAAUGAAUUUCACCAUCCGACCCUACUUGGCAAGCUGCCAAUAUGCAUGGUGACACGUUGAGAACUGCUCAAAGUAGAAACUUUACUUUACUUCAUCUAACUCAUUUCAAUGGUAUAGAUGCAUCUUAUAUGUCAAUAUUUUUUUAAAAAAAAUCCAUGUACAAGCAAAACUAAAAACUAGCUUACCGCCUAAAAGUUAAUGCUCGAAUACGAGGAUUAUUCACAACAAGGACAUGGUCCUCAGCAAGAUAAAUGAGUAUCGAAGAAGGAAUAAUGAUAACAAACAUAAUGAGGAUAAGUGGAGGUUGUAUGUUAGAGGGAUGCAAUGAGGAAGCCAUUUAAUCUCAAUGGUGGAGACAAUAAGAAAAGGGGAUAAAAAUAUGUUGGUGCCGGGGUGUUAGUAGCCAUGCAGUAGAAGUUUGUAUAUAUAGAGCAACUACUUAAGGGUGUGAGGUUUACGAGCUAUUUCAUACAAUCUGGCUCUUCUGAUAGCAUCCAAUACUUGAGAGGUAGGAAGUUUAAUGUGAGGAACCACCCUAAUUAAAUUAUUAUUGCAUACAAACUAGAUCUGGAUCAUCAUACUUGCAAGAGUUAUCCAUAGCACUAUACAUUGAGUGGAUGCAAGGAGCUCGUAAAAUUUUAAAGUUAAGCAAAGUAAUUUGCAAGGGCAUUUAAGGAAAUAACAUAAUAAAAAAGACAUAGCACCUAUAGUUUCAACAUAACAUACCAACCAUUUGUGAAACUUUCGGGAGUACUAGCAAUGGCAGCCUAGGUUCACACCCCACUAGUCAAGAUCGGAGCAGACUAAUACAUAGUGCUUGUAUUUGGUUGGCACUUGCAAAUGAGAUGAUAAAGGCAUUUGAUUAUGGAUCCAAUUCUAUGAUUAAAGGGACUUGCUCCCGACUAAUAAAUUGAUGAUGAUAUUGGGACCCCCUGGCUACAUCGGUGGAUGGACUUAUGAAUGACCGUGGACUGCUAGCUUGUAUAGGUGCUAGUGUGUUCAAAGCUCCAGUUAAACCAUGGCCAUGGUUUGAGCUGGCAGAUUGUGUUUGGUAAAAGUUUUCAUACCUAUGCAGGGUAUUUGAAACUCUAUAGCUAUAUGUGGUUCAUGGUCAUGAGCCCACUUUGUUAAAACCAUUACUAAAAACAAAUUUGCCCUGCAGGGUAUUUGAAACUCUAUAGCUAUAUGUGGUUCAUGGUCAUGAGCCCACUUUGUUAAAACCAUUACUAAAAACAAAUUUGUAGGCGCGCCCUGAUUUUUUUCAGGGACGGCCCAAAAGGUCACCCACCCCUAUAAAAGGAGCGGGGUUACUAUAGCUUUCGGCCUGCCCCUGGAAAAGCAUUUGCAGGGCCGGGCCAUGUGUGAGCCGCACGUGGAAAUAGGGUCAUUUCUAGGGGUAGACAAUGGUGUCAUUUUCAGGGGCGGGUUAUCCCAUCAUCCGCCCCUGAAAAUGGAAACCAUUUCUUGGAGCGGCUCCCAAAAAUGAUUUCUAGGGGCGGGUGAUGGCAUAGCCCACCCGUCUCACGCAAAUAAAUACAUAACUUUUUCAUAUGAUAUCAGAUGAACACACUUUAUAUCAAAAUUGUAGAGCUCGAUGAGGUCCAAAACUUUGUAGUUGAUAACUUUUCCAUUUAAGAUAAUUCAAUAGUCCAAAAAAUUUAUUAUAUGUUCUCUAAUUUUGAAAUCUAUUUUUAAUUUUCCAAAUAACCUUAGAUGUAAAGCAGCUCUAUAUCAAAGUUGUAGUGGUAAAUGAGAUCUAAGUUCAUACAUUUUUAUAGUCACAAGAUGUUUUGCUUGUUGUUCCUCCUGAUAAAUAAGAGUUGUGUGAUAAUGAUUCAGUCGUUCAUUUGUCUCAACUAGUUCAUACACAUGAUAUCAUUUCAUUGCAACUAUAUUCUUGUGCUGAAAAUAAUGUGUUUAUUCCUAUUACUAGUGCACAUGAUGAACUGAAAUUGUUAUCUUCUUUAAAUACUUUGGGUUAUAUUGAAUCUAAGUUAUUUGGAGGAGAGAAUUUUUGCACAUUCUAAAUUACCAUGCUUGACUAGGAAUACGUAUCACUUCAUUGGCAAAUAUAAUUGUAGAGGAGAAUAUAUGCUACAUCGAGUUUAUAUUUUUUCAAAUCUAAAUUCUCCUUUUGUUGUACAAGAAUGCAAGCAACUAGAGGGUUGCCAUAACAAUAAUAUUAUCAACCUUGUGAUGCCAGGUUCCUCUAGUUUUGUUUUAAAGAAACAUGUUAAAUCACAAGAAGAGGAACAUUGUUGGUCAUUAUCUAUGACAUAUUCUACAACUACAGUCAAACUGAGGAUGGUUUGCUUUCAAGAAGGGGAGAAUGAUGAGGUCAUGACACGCUUAGAUACGACCAUUCAUGCUAAUGCUAAAGAUAAGGUGAGCUCAUUCCUAUGUAUUCUUUUUAGUUAUUUUGAGAAUAGAUUGGUACCUAAAGAUAUUAUUAUAAUUAGGAGCUAUGGAGAAGACUAUGAAAUACCUAAAGAGAGGCAUGGAGGUGGAGAGGACCAGCAAGGGACGUCCAAGCCAAGUUGGAGGCCAAAACUGAUGUGAACCCGUGGGGUUGAAUCCCGAUCUUUCGAUGAGAGAAGGUGAAUAACUCGAUUUGGGGAUGGAGAUGACGUUCACGGUCCGACUACAACCAUCCAAAGAUGCUGCACCUUAGCAACCGAUACACCACCUCCAAUGGUUGCCGCGAUCUUGUGGAGUACGAUCAACCAAACCACUAGGGUAAUUCCUGCAAGCAAUUGAGGAACAAGCAAUAACAAGUAGAACAAGCAACUCAAUUGCAAAUACGGAGAUAAAAACCAAUCUGGAGUCACAAAAUUGAGGUUCUAAAUCGAGUAGAAUGGAUGGUGUAGUCGACACACGCGUCUAUAAAUAAAAUUCUAGUGUUCCUGGUGGCGGCUAAGGUGUAUCUUUGAAUCAAAAGUGGCCAAUAUGGUUGUAUCCGAGUAGGUAAUAUCCUCAUCAAAAACUAUAUCAAGUUCGAGUCCGCCUCGGAGUCUAGGAGCAGUCCGCCUUAGAAUUCAUGCCUAGAUCACAUACAGAGGGAACAUUUUACAUAUGCAUGGAAAUCUGAGAAGAUACACCUUCCAAUGGAAUUGGUUUCAUGUCAAAAUUCCUUCUACGUCAACAGCAAACUUCAAAACAAGUGGGCAUACGGAAUCUGCCAAUAGAGUGUUGUGUCACAUUUUAUUGGGCCUUGGGGCUUGUAAUUUUGCUUGGGACCUAGGCACAUGUUCUUGUGCGCUCCGACCAGGAGGAGAACAUCUCAAUUAUGCCGUAGGUCGUCCUCCCCCUUGGCCACCUCCUCUUUGCUAUAUAAACUUAGUAGCCGCCACCCUAUACGCUUGGGUUUUGCUCGGAUUGAUCUGUGUUUGAACAAUUUUGCCGUUUAUCGGUUUGUGAGACCCAACUCGUGUCUUUCAUAUCAUUAGCAAUAUUUCCAUUGCAUCUACCUUGUUCUUUUUUGUGUUCUUUGAUUCGUAGGUAGGGAUAAUUAGCCUUCGUGGUGAGGUCCUGCGCACGGUUGAUAACUAGAGAUGAAGUGGUGGUGCGAUUGUGGGGUUCGGAUCUUGCUGAUCGGAAUUCGGAUCUUGAGUAUUAUUUCUCCACCAAAUUGAGAAUUAUCCUCACCUGACGGAAGAUCGGGCACUUUAGUUCCCAUCAUGUUGUACUCUAUAGUAUGAUUGUAGUAUAAGUGAAUGCGAAGUGUUGUACAUAUGUAUUACGAUUGUGAUAUUUUGACCAUUUGAAAAAAUACUUGAGCUAUGUGAAAUAUAUCUUGUGUGAGUAUAUAUAGAUAUAUGUCUAUAUUUUAAAAGAAAAAAAUUAAAAAUAAAAAUGGAGAAAUAAUUGUAGUGGCAGGUGACGACGUCACCAGCUCCUAGAAAAUUAUUUCGAGGGGCGAGCCAUGGCAUCACCCACUCCUAACUAUGUGGUGUGGUGGAGAGGAGAGUACGUGCGAGGCCUAAGGUAUGCGGUUCGAACCUCGGUAAAUACAAGUGUGCAUAUUUCGUCCAAAAAUUGUACCACCAUAGCUGUAGGGAUUGUUCGUGGUGUUGCCAUGACCGCCCCAAGGCUGGACAUGUUACCCGCCCCUACAAACUGCUAUUUAUAGCUGCGAAAAGGAAGAGCGGGUAACGCACUGCCCUUGCAAAUGGUGUUUCAUCCAACCAAACCUUUUUGCAGCAGUGAACAUUCACGAUUAGGUUUUUAAACCUUUCCUUAAAACAACGGAUAGUUUUGGAAAUGAGCUUGAUGCUGUGAUGGAGUUAAACUGGUGAGCUAUGGCUACACUGACCAACAGUGUUCCAGCAGCCGGAUGAGAGAGAGUUGAGCGGUCACCUUCUUAAUUGGACCUCCCAAGUGAUCUCAAAUUCACACAAGCUUUUCAACGAGGUAAUAAAUAAUUAAGAAAUGCUCUAAGCAUUUGCCCUUGACUGUUGUGACCAAGGACAAGGAGACAUACAAAGAAAUAUAAAUGUGUUCCACACCUCCGAUCCACACCUCUCUCACAGGCAAAAUCUGUUGCAGCAGCCAUAUAGAUCAUGGCAGGACGCAGAAGUAGGAGUCCAGGAGAUCAGCUGUGGCUACAAGUAGAGAAUGCCACAAAAAAAAGCAACUAGGUUCAAGCUGGUCCACAGUUUGAGGCAAACAAAGCAACUAAGUCCAAGCAACCGAUGAAGAAGCAGCCGGAUGUGUUCUUCAUACUUCUGGUACGGUACACGUACGCAUCAGCUGUUGUCCUUCCCUCUCAAUGGCGGCAGGCGAGAUGUGGCGCGCAGCUUACUGGUGUUCAUGGGCAUGCUCCUGUACAGCUUGGAAGGUGUUGUGGCAGUGACACAGUUCUGCCCCUACCUCCAUCCCCAUUUGUCGUCCCGUCGGGAGCCCGCAGGCGUAGCAGAAGAUGAAUUUGCACCUAAUUAAAGACAGCACCAGAACAUUAGCGCAAGGGGAUAUAGGGUCAUGCAGGAAGUAUUUAAGACACGGAUAGAUCAGUAUCAAAAUGUUAAAAGUACAGAAAACAUGACAAGCUAUAGGAACCAGAGAAACUAACUAGCUUUCAGAUCAAAAUUCAGGAUUUUUGAUAAGGGAUUAAUCUAAAACACUCAACCAAUCUAAAGCAUCAAUAUGUAAAUGAAAAAAAAUAUGCACUCAAAUUCGAGUAGAAGAUGACUCCAACAUGACUGGUGAGAGUGAUCCCAUGACUUAAAACUGAUAUUGUGCACUAUAGCAUCGGGUGAUCAGAUGAUGUGAAAAUCAAUAAAGUAUGUUGAGAAAUCGGCGCACAAACCUUGACAUCGACUCACUAGAAGUGGCACCAAGGUGGUGUGACACCACUUCUUCUGUGGAUCUUAUCCCCACACUACUCUGAGGAGACCUUCACACCGGCACCAACAUGAGAGACCAACUCUCUACAACGAAACUCAAAUAUUUUAUUCACCUACUCACAACUUGAUACAACACUCACUCUUACAUUCUUUAUGUGGCUACCCUACCAUGACACCACUCCACUACAUGGUAACCUUAUCAUCUUUUCACUUAUGGCUCACAUGCCACUCUAUGCCAUGGUAUGGCUAGGAGGGAGGGGAGCACCUCUAUUUAUAGGUGCUCAUGAUCAUUGUGGUGUUGCCAUAUGGCAACUUUCACACUCUUCUAUACAAAAUAUCCUACCUCUAGAACCUCCUCAUCCUUAUUUAGUUUCUUAUAUUUCUACCAUGCUAAAAUAUCUAGUUUUAAAGUAUUCUAGACUUCACCAUAAAGCAUGGUAACUAUGGUUCAUGCAUUUUCUUCAAUUUUUUAGAACCUUCUUACCUUGCCAUGAUCUUAUUCUUAUACAUGACAAAGUUAGUCUCUUGAGGUCUCCACAAUCUUCUGGAAUGUUCCAAGUAUGUAUUGCAUAUUUCAACAAAGUAUGACUUAACAAAAAAAGAAUUGUAUGCCUUGCCAACCAGUUUUCUCAAAAAGUGAGGACCAAUAAAGCAUGGAGCAGCAAAGAUUUUGUAUACCCUGUUGGAGUUAUUGGCAGCAAUACAUUUAAUUACGCUCCCAGAUUCAAAUAUUGGAUUGGCCUGGUCCAGUUUUGUAAGAACAAUCACUAAUUACCACGAUUUAUACUAACUAAACUAAGCAAACACAAAGUGGUCAUGACGGAAUAAUUAAUUUGCAUAAACAAAAUGGUUAACUUGAGGCAAAUAAACAGGAGAAGAUCGAGCGCCAUACCUGCAACGCAUGACAUUGCACCCAUAGAUCUUCUCAACAAGCAUUUUGCAUCUUGGGCACUGCUUCCAUCGACGCCCCUCAGCGAGCUUCUUCACGAGGGCGGCACUCGGCCCCUCAAAGCAGUCGUGCUGGCCGCUGUCAUCCUUGCUCCAAUCCACGCCGCAUGUGGCACACAUCGGGUGGCUGCACACCGGGCAGAAUGCCAUGACCGGGGUCUUACCACCUGUGGCCUCCAGCAUCACCCCACACUGGCGGUUCGGGCAGUAGGCGCGCCGGUUCUGCGGGAUGGCGCUCUCGGUCAGGCGGUAACCCCAGCUGACGAACGCGGCGAAGUCGAUGGAUUUCUUGCACUCCUCGGGGUGCAGGACGAGGCUGUCCUCCCCCAGCUCCCUGCACGCCGGGUCCGGGCACGGGAUCGGCACCUCGCAGUCGUGGAUCCUACCCUCGAUGUACGUGGCCAUGCACUCCACGCAGAACCUGUGCUCGCACUGCAUGCCGUGGAAGAGGUCCAGGAUAGGGAGGGUCUCCAUGCAGAUGCCGCACUUGAACUUGGGCACUUCAUCGUCGGCGAGAGGGGGCACCCUGGCCGGCCUCACCAUCGACGGGCCGGGCUCGUCGGGGUCGAGAUCAGACGCGAUGAAGCCCAAUCCCUCGGUGGAGUUGUAGUUCAAGGGUUCCUCUCUGGGCUCCUGCUGGGGGCGUGGAAGUUGUGUCUGGAAAUAAGAUACCUCAUAGAGUCCCGGCUCCUCCUCCAUCUGCUCCAUCCUCUGGGCUUCGCGGCGGAUGGACUCGUACCAUCUGUUGUCGUGCUCUUCCUCCAUGCCGGCGAGGACGACCGGGGAGGAACCAUCGCCGAGCACGGCCUGCCUUGCCGAGAUGACAGCAUCUGCCCGUUUCCUUAUUUCCAAACGGAUGGUUACGGCUUCGACGCGCCAACGGGCUGGCCAUGGCGCGUCGUCUGGUUGAAGGCUCUGGGGCCGCCUCUUGCCGGGGCGGCAAGCUGGUUGUUGGCGUUGGCCUCGGCGGCGGCGAAGAAUUGCAGAUCCUCCAUAGCAGCGACGUGGUCGGCGAGCUCCUGCAUGUCGAUGCCGCCUCCUGCAGGAGGAGCUAAGACUACCCUGUUCGCGUUAGCCUGGGCGGCGGCGGCGGCGGAGCUGUCGAAGACGCGCGGCCCUCCUGCGAACUGAUGAUGGAAGGCCUGUCCCGCCGGCGCGGCGCGGACGGCCGCCGGUCCUUCAGCGCCGGCAAAGACGCCGGCGGGGAGCUGCGGAUCCUCGAGCUCGAAGCGGCGCAGGUCCCAGUCCUCCACCUGCACGAGCUCCUCCAUGUACAUGGCUAGCUUGCGCCAUGGUCUCGUCCUGCGCGAUGGCGGCGUCGAGAUCGAGAUCCACCCGAUCUGCGCCAGCGCCAACCUCCUCCGCGGCCACGACCUCCUCCUUCCAUGCGUCCGCGGCGGCCCGCGCCUGCGCUGCCUCCUCCCAUGCGUGCGCGGCCUCCUCCCAUGGGUUCGCGGCGGCAUCGCGGACUGCUUCCUCCUCUGACUGACGCUUGUGACGACCAUGGUUGGGUUUUUCUCCUUCCAUUGCAGCCUCUCGAGAUUAUUAGGGUCGCAGGCGACGUUAAUCCUGCGUAAAAAUAGGAAAGGAGACGCGUCUGAGACCGUGUAAGAGCAACUCCAAGAGUAUCUAAAAAAUUCUUUCCCAAAAUUAUAUAUUAGGGGUUCUUCAAAAAAAUUUCCCCCAAAAACAUAUCAGUCCACAGCAGAUCGCUAAUAAAUAGCUCCUAAUAUUUCAAACACAGGUCACGUCAUCGUAUUGGGCCCAUCGGAAGGGACGCGCGGGCGUGCGGGAUUCAGGAUGGGGGGAGGAACGCCAACGCUAAAAUAUACGCGGUGGUAGGCUGUUUUUUAGUGUCACUAAAAAAUUGGGGAAGGUUUAGGUGGAUUGUUGAAGUUCAUUUUCUCUCUCUUUUUUCCUAAAAAAGUAUUAGGGGUAAGAUUAGCAGCCUCUUGAAGCUGCUCUAAGGUGUUACGAGUGUGCGGCAGAAUACGAGUACGAGAUGGUCGGAAAAAAAGAAGAAGAGGAAGAAUACGAGUAGGAGUACGAGAGACGCCAACACAAACGUUCCUCUAAAUCGUGGUCGGUGGUAACACAGAGAAAACACACGUCGUUAUACGAAACAAAAAUGUCAAAUGUGACAACAACUAAUAAAGAAGUUUAUUUUCAUUCCACAAGUGUAUCUUACAUACAUUUUGAUCCAAUAAUUCUAGUUUUUCUCUACCUUCAUUGGCUUUCAGCGAUUGGAUGAGAAUCCAAUGGCCUAUAGCGUGAAGAUGUGCUCGUCAUGACCUACGUGGCGUCCCCGCCGCCAUCAUCUUAUUCUCAUGCUAACUUAGACUUUUUCUUGCCCACGCACCAACUCUUACGGUCUUACCAACAGACGCUCCCCAAAGCCGGUGCCGCACCCAUCAACCAGCCACCGCCCACCACCAACUAGGUCUCCCUUCAUCCCAGACAACCUUCUCUGAUGCCGGUAAUGGUGAACCCCCUCCCUCUUUCCCACCCAAAAAACAUAAAUCUUCAUAUCCAAUCGACAACAUAUAUGUCUAGAUAGAUUUAUUCCCAAAAAUAAAAUCGAAUUCCUCACCUCACAAUCGAUGACGAUAUUCAUCAGGACUCCUCCUACUACAUUUCUAUUGUUCUCCAUGAAGUUCGACAAGAUUUUUAGGGUUAAGGUUUGGUUUUGGAUUCGACUUGGGAUCUGGGAUUUAGGAACUUUUCUUUGCGCCUUUCGAGGCCAUUGGCUUGGUGGCGGCGGCGGCGGCGGCGGGUGGAUAGGUGGGUGGGAUUGGUGGCCGGGGUCAGGCUUUAUAUUGUGGUUAGCGAGGAGGGUGUCAUCUUAACCUAGAAGCAAGGAAAUUCCAACACGGAAGGAAAGUGGCAGCAGUAGUCGGAUGUUUGUGGGUCUAGGUCAUACCGCAUUGGGAAAGUAGCGGCUAUCGACCAAAUCAAGCUAGAAGGGGGUACAGAGGUAAGUCGUGGAUCCUCAUCUGACGGUCCCAAAUCUGGCUGAUUUUGAGGAAGGUAAUGGUUAGUGGACAUAAUAUUUUUUGUGUUCACAGAACAUUUGGAAAUUGUGUGUUCACACUAUUAUUGUGAAUAUGCAAUACAGUUUUUAGACACUGUGCUUGAAAAUAUUAGUCAAUGAAGGAAAUAAUUUAUCGUACGUUUAUCCCACUAAAUUUGUAUGGUGGAACCAAUUGUUAUAAAUAUCGUUUUGUUUGGAAUGAGAUGUUUUCCUCCAUUUUUGUGUGGGGACCAGAUUGUAGCAUGUGAAAUCCUGCAAAACUCCAAUAAAAUUUCCGGCCUCCAAAAUUGUCAAUACACGGCACAACUACACAACUAUCAUGAAUGUUUAUUUGAAAUUAGUUUUUUUAUAUUGGAACCUGUGAUUUGAAAAAAAAAGAGUGAAACCCCUCUUUCCUCCAUUGAGCCCUCAAAGAAAAAAGUAAUUUGAGCACGGACAAUCAACAAGGUAACUAAUGAUUAAAACCUAUGUAAAAAUGUAAACACAUUAUAGAUAAAUCUUGUAAGCUCAUGCACUACUCACUCCGUCCCAAAAUAUAAAAUCUGAUUUGGCAUGGUCUCCAUAACUAGCCUUUGAUUCUAAAUUUUUCCUGCUAUAUUACAAUGUUUAUAGCAAAAAAAAUCAUAUUCAUAUAAAAAAUAUUUUUAAAUGCCAAUCCAAUGAUAUUAUUUUUCUCAAAAUGUUACACUACGUGAGGCUAAUGAUUAGCCAAUAAUUAUAAAUCUGAAUUCUGGGAUGGAAGGAGUAAUUAUUUCGGACAAAGAUAUUCCUGCUAUUAGUAAAUGUAUCACAUUCUAGAAAGCAUGGAAACCAAACAUCUGAAUUUAACUAUUGGUUUAAGAAAAAGUUAGAUCGGCCAUUUCAACAAAGUAUUGUACGUAUUAGUUGUGUGGAUGCUAUAUUUUAAUAAUUCGAUAAUUUCUCAAAUCAUUUAACCAUUUUGCAUAUUGAAGGCCACGUUGAUGUCCAUAAUAUCAUAUUUUUACAAAUGAUGGGACUAUUUCUAGAUUUCGGAUCACCUGUGCAAAAGAAAAGGUGUGGAGGUUGAAUAAUCAUUAUGCGCAACUGUAAUCAUAGUCUCAUAUAUGGGUCUGUUUAGAACACAGAUGUUUAAAGUAACUUUGAACAAAACAUUUUAAUCCGAUCCAAUUAAAAAAAUACAUUGUUUCAAACAUAGGCUACAUUAGUCAAUACUAGUGUCGCACACUAUAGGCCGGAUGACAAAGCCGAGCAGCCACCUCAUCUGCGUAGCUGCCCGUCCAAGUGAUGCUCCAUCUUCUCUCUCAAGGAUCUCAGAUUCACACAAACUUUUCACGAAAGGAAUAAAGGCAAGUGAAGUAUUUGCACGAGGCUUGCGACCAAGGAGAAGGGGAGGAGCCCAUGCUUCCCCUCGCUUUGUGUGCAAACGAAAACAUAUAUAUGCAUCUCGCUCCUCUGAUCCAUGCCUACUCGACGAUCCCGCCGGCAAACUGCUGCCGUAGCUAGCCAUGGAUCUUGGUGCCAGCAGCCGCAGCAGCAGGCGAGGGCACAGCAGCUACAAGGCGAGCAGCCAUGGCCACUGGCACCAUCCACACUCCGCCAGAUGCCUCUGCCUCUACCUUCUCCUCUCGGUCACCCUCCUGAUCGCCGUCGCCGCCGUGCUCCUCGUCGUCUUCGUCACGAGGCUCAAGAAGCCGGCGUUCUACCUGCAGUCCGUCCAGAUGGACCGGUCCUUCAGCCUCCGGUUGCCGUCGUCAUCGGCGGCGUCGAACCGCAGCGCGAACGCGACAAUGGCAGCGCCGUGCGCGGUGGCGUCGCUGGUGUUCGCCGCGCAGAACCUGAACGGCCUCGGGAUACGGUACGGCGCGGCGGUGCUGGGCGUGUCGUACGCGAACGAGUCGGUCGGCGCCAUGGACGUGCCGGCGUUCUACCAGCCGCCGCGGAGCGGCAACGUGACGGUGAUCGUGCACGCCGCGCUCGCGGAGCGGAACGUGACGCGGCUCCUCGUGCGCGAGCUGUCGGCGCAGCGGAGCUACAUGGAGGUCAGGGUCACCGGGAGCAUCGACGCCCGGACGCACGUCAUGAACUUCCCGCUGCCAAAAGUUCAGGUUCGUCAGACUCCACCACAGUUGUGGUCUUACUUCCGAAUUGCAGUGAUUCUUGCUUGCUGUGGCUUAAGACUCUCUGAAGUCAGAACAGUGAUUCUUGCUUGCUUGUUUGUUUUUUAACAAAAGUUGGUUAUGUUUCAGAAAUUCUGAAAUUCGAUCGUAUUUUGGGGGUGCAGUUUUCGCUGGAUUGCAGGUUUGGAACCAACUACACCGACAUUGUGCUGCGGGAAGGAAUCGAGUCCAUGAUGACACGCAAGGUAUUUGCCUAUUGUACGUUCAGACGCGCAUGCUUCCGUCAGACGAUUGAUGUUAAAUUUUCGUGGCUCCUUGUGCAGGCUCUCCUUGUAUCUUCACUGCCUCACCUCUCACAGAAGUGCUCUAUCAAGAUUGACUUGAGGUCCAGACGAAAGAGGGCUAGUCUUGACGAUCUAGGAUGCUGGUAGUCUCACAGAUUCAGAUUCUUUUACCUUUGUGAAAAUUUUUACCUUAGGCAAAAGAAUUCCUUUCACGUGUCCCCAAGAUGUAAAUACAGUCGACUUAGCCAAUCGUGUAUGUUCAUCUGCAUCUAGUAAAAUGAUUAGUCUUUUUUUAAUGAAAAAGGACAUAAGCACUGCCAUUCGAUUAAGAAAACGUACAUAACGUGGAACAUCACCACACCAAGUCUGGGAAGGAUAUACUCUCUCCGUUUCAAAUUGUAGAUCAUUUUGAUAUUUUUAGAUUCAUAAAUGUUACUAUGCAUCUAGUUAUAUACUUAUGGCUAGAUACAUAGCCGACUUUUUUAUUUUGUAGUCCUUUUUUGAAAGAUUCUCACAAAUAGGUCCCUGACGAAACAUUACAGAAUCUGGACCCUUAGCUUGGCGCCAGCAUGGAUGGCGCAAAACUUACACGUCUCGGCACCAGCAUACCUUCUGACGUCUAGGUCGCUGCGCAGCUGGUGACGUGGCUGCUGACUAACACAUAAAAGUUAAAAUAAUCAUCAGAGAGAAGCACUAGACGAAAAAAGCAUACCUUCUCCACAUAUACCUCAGGGAGUCCACAUUGUAUCUUCUGUUCAAGUAAAGUAAGCUCUGCAUCAUGAAGAUUUUUAACUUGCAGUCCAUGCAAUGGCCGUAUGACCUUUCUGCAUAACAGACAGUUCAUUCUAUUCAGAACCGUCGGGAAAAAAACACGUGGCACGUCAACAAACCACAAGGUGAUUAAAUUACCUAAUAUAAAAAUGAACUCAUGCUGCGGCUCAAUUAGUGAUCAGUAGUGAAAAGGUGCAAAUAAGUAUCAUAAUACAUACUUGAAGUCUUUAAAAUGCUGCAAACACUUCAACACAAUGAAACUUGGAAGAAAAGGGUUCCUUUUUUGUCAUAGAAGUUCAUUCCAAUUACAUUUCCAUCAAAAUCCAUCACAGGGCUGCCAACACCUCUCUGCAAUGUUGAACUGAUCAUUUGUAAGAAAAGCAGGUACCAAUGUAGGAAAGAUGUAUGAUACAAAUACAGAAUUUUGUUGAUUUUCAGCAACAUGCGGUGUGGGCAGUAGAUUUUGACAGUGCCACUGAGUGGAAGAUUAGGAAAAAUGAGCACUUUGAGAAGAUGAUUGGAUCUAGACUAAAUGAGAAAAUGGCACAUGUUGUUGUUGAAGUAGUUGAUAAGGCUGGAUAUCAACCACUGCAUAGUUCAACUUGGUCCAAAGCCAGUUCUGGUGUAACUAGUCAUGCUGAUCCAGUAUGUCCUCCAUCUCAUGCUGAAGGUGCAGAUGACAUAUUUACCUCUACAUAAGAGUUAGAAUAGAUAGCUGAACUUGUUGAUUGGAGUCAAUUGACUAUUAUCCCUGAUCCUGAUCAAGAUGGAGAACCUUCUGUGUUGGCUUGGCUAAUGAGGAAACUGUAUUUGAAGCAAUGGGAUUCAAAGUAGCAGAUGAGAGAGCAGCACAAGCAGUUGAGCAAGUUGCUAUUCCAGUCAUUCCAGAAGACCUUCUAUAUGAUAUGAAUGAGGCAGGUAUUGAUGUACAUGACAAUGAGCAUUCAAAUCCAGUGUUGGAUUGGGAUAGGGACAACCUAAAGAUGGCAAUGGGUACUGUAUAUCCUUGCAUGGUUGAUUUCAGAUUUGUUAGAUUUCUCUGUUCCAAGCUCAAAUAAACGACAAGGAUCACAAGUGUGCUUCAAGAAGCAGAGUGUGUGGCACAAUAGCCAGCCAAGCUUGGAUUGCUAAAAGGGCAAUUCCCCUUUUGAAGAGGAAGCCAAAUUUGGGUGCUAAAGAAGUGAAGGAGGCUUUGGAGGACAAGUACAGAAUCCAGAUUAACUAUCAGACAGUGUGGUAUGGGAGAAAGAGAGCGGCAGAUAAACUUUUUUGUAAGUGGGAUGAUUCAUUUGACUGGUUGUAUAGGUUCAAAGCAGAGGUGGAAUUGAGAGCACCUAGUAGUGUAGUUGAGAUAGACAGUGUUGAAAUUGGCAACAAGAGUGUUGACGGUCCUUAUGUCGGAAAUCCGACUGUCACACUACUCAAAGAAUAAAGGAAAACUAACAUUUCUUACUCGUAUAUUUGUUAUCAAUAACCUAGCUCCACAUGUAUUGGCAAAUAAGUUAUUUCAGGGACACAAGUCUGUACAAGAGAGGAAACGUGCGCAAACGCGGAUGAAAUACACAGAACAACACUAAAUGUGUACACGACAGACAAGAGGGCCCACGUGCCAGAGCAAACUAGCCCAAUCCAGCAUGGGUCCACAAGGGAAAGCGCCAAGGCCCAACUAGCAGCCCACCAAACAAAGGCGGUAGUGAGGAGGCCUAGCCCAGGGUCGGCCGAACCUGGACAGGUCCCCUCGCCCUUAUCUUCCACGUGGCGGUCGCUGGUGGACUCCCUAUGGCGGUUGGGGAAGAUUCCACGAAGCCUCUCUCCUUCUCUCUAUUGCUACUCUUGUAAUCCUUAGACUAGUGGAGCUAGGCUAGAGCUGAACAGAUUGUUUUGCAGGAAAAGAACCAAGAAGAGCAUUGUCAAGGCUUGAAGGAAAAAGGCCAAGAAAGACUCUUCUUCAGAGACAAUGUUAACAACUCCUAGGACAAGAGCAGCAGCAGCUAGGGAAGCAGAAGCAACAACCAAGGAAGCAGAAGCAACAACGUCAAUACAAUCCGCUAAGAGGUAAUACUUGUUACAUGUCACAUACUAAAACCUGUUGUUAAUUCUUUCUGUUCCAUACUAAAACCUACUGUUAACUCUUUUUGUUCCAUACUAACACUUGCCCAGGAGGCUAGCUUUUGGAGGCACCACUGGCUUUGGAGGCACCACUAGCUUUGGAGGCACUGCCAUACCUGGAGGAAGCAACAAAUGUGGCUAAGAAGAUGACACCUAGGAAGAAACAGCUGGCCACCAAGGUGAAAAGGAAGUCACCGGCAAAGAAGUUGAAGCUUUGAGUUGUAUGCUUUUGCUUGAACUAUGCCAUGAAGUUGAAGUUUUUGAGUUAUGGCAAAAAUAAACAAUGUCAUGUAUAGCAAUGUGUUCUGUAAUCUUGGCAUGAACAAUGUGAUGUAUGCCAGUAUGUUUGCCCAUGAAGUAUGUGUUCUGUUAGAUGGCCAUGAACAAUGUCAUGUAUGGCUGGAUGUUAAUUCUUCAUGAAUGACCAAAGAAGUGGAGGGAAAGCUAAGACUAUGUUAUUACCAUUGUUAUGCAUGUGAUGUCUGUUGUUUAAAUCUGUGUGCGAUCGAUCUUUCAAUAUGUCAGUUUGUUAACUGCAGGUCAUUUAUCUGAAUUUCUACAUCAUCCAUGCUUUUCCUGACUGUGUUUCCUUGUGUUUGCAACUUUGCAUAUACUGUUCGCAGCUGUUCUGUAUGUGGUGCUGGAAAAAAAGUAUGUUGGAAAUAAAGAAACUACCGCUUUCGUUGAAAAAAGAUGAAUAAACUACUGUUUUUUCUUUUUGUUGCGCUGUUAGUUUCACUCCGUUUAGACACUGGGAUGUUUAAGCAUAGGGGGAUAAGCAGAAGGCAGAGUCAAAGAGCGGCUCGUGGCCGGGUUCAGGUGGGCUGGUGGGGCUGAAAGGAUAAGGCAUGGAUAAUUUGAUCAUUUCAUGUCCCAAUCUAUGGUGGCAGGGGUGAAUUGGUGCGCCACAUGCGAAAAAUGAUAAAAAUAUAAUUUUGUUCAAGGGGGCCGUAAGGAGAGCAACCGAAAUCGAGUGGUAUUCGUAUUCAUAAUAAGGAUGUCAAAUAGUCCCGGAUCCCACGCCCGUCGAUCCCGCACAGAGAUCGUCGAUCCCUCCACCGCCCGGCUCUCUCCCUCUCCGUUCCUCUCUACCGCACACCACGACGCCUCCGCUCAUCUGUCAGUCGGUCCUUCGGUAAGUGCUUUUAGCUUCCUUAGAUUGAUUCUUUAUCCUAAGAGUUGGAUUUGUUGUCCACAACACCGGGUCAUUUUUCCCUCAACACAUGUACCUUUUGGGUUCUUAUGCUGCGUGCGUGGUGCCCUACUAAUCCAAAUUCGCCCCAUUCGUUCCUAAGAAUGUUCAAACAACAACUUGGAAGCAUCGAAUGAUCUGAAAUAUUGUCAUUAAUUAGAACAAGUUUAACGUUCACCUGAGAAUGAAUUUUCUUCUCUAGUUGUUUAGCUCUCUUUCGUGUAAUUGGACCCACAAUAUUGGUUGCAUCCUUAUUCUUUAUAAUAUUAGUGUCGAUGUUAGGGAUGUCCUCAUCAGAAGGUGAUCAGUGACUUUGCUAGGAGCCACAAGGCAACCAAAGCAAUGCUAGCUUACAAUGGUACUCCUCCAUCCACAUACAUAAAUAGCUUAAUUUUGAUUUAAAAAGUCAAACUUCAACGGGUUCGACCAUCAAUUAUUCUGUUAGUUAAAUUAGACAUGUUUAAGGUGGUGCAGGUGGUACUCAUAUAUUUAUACUUUUCAAGUGCUUAUAACAUGGUAUAGAUUUAAGAACCACGCUGGUAGCCGAUCAAAAUUUGUCUUUAAAAAAUGGGCCAACCGAAGUGACAAGGAGGAGCCACGCCACACCCGGCAGCCGGCACCAUGGUACACUCGCUUGAAGCUCCCCUUUCUCCCCGUAGUCGUGCGUGGCCGCCAACGUGCGGCGCCACGCGAUCGUUGCCGAACCACCUCACCACCCACUCGCACGGUCCCACUCCCACCCGCAAAUCCCGCCCCUCUUCCCGGCCCCAUGGGCUCGGCGCCCCACCACGCCGCCUCCCCGCGCGAGCCACCGCCCACCGGCGCCGUACGCUUCGCUCUCUCGCGGACUGCGGACACAAGCAGUCAGGCAUUCCACCAAUGCCAUGGACCCCACCGGUCGGUGACCCAACCCGUGGCCCCGUCGACGCCACGACAACGAACAGCGGGAGCUUUUCGCUCGAAAAGCCGCGAGCCUUCGUCGCUCGCCGUCGACGUCCCGCUUCCCUUUUUUCCCCCAUCCGCUCCGCGCCUCCCUCCACCACCGCUUCCCUCGCCGCCGCCGCGUUCUCACUCCUGAGGGCUUUGCCGCGUGGCGUCUCGCCGCACCCGCCGCUGAUGCUCCUCUCCUCCCGACCCCCUCCUCCUCCUUACCUCCCUCGCGGGGGCGCCGCGCCCACCCCCACCGCCCCCUUCGUCCUCGUGCUCCAGCGCCGGCAGCGGAGGCGGCGCCACAAACACCGGCCACACAGCAUCGUCCCCCGCGCCUCCAUCUCGGACCUCCUCGCCAGCCUCCCUUCCUCCCUCGCGCUCGUCGGCCCCGCCGCACUCGCCGCCGCGGCCGCUCUCGCCACCUCCUUCUCCGCCUGGUCCUCCUCCUCGUCCCGGAACAGCCUACCGCCUCCGUCCCAGGACCCCGAGGACUACCGCGCGUGCGGGGAUGUCGCGGGCGAGUGGAUUCUCUUCACCAGUCCGACCCCGUUCAACCGGUGCGUGCUCCUGCGGUGCCCGUCCGUCUCGUUCGAGGACGGCGGCUUGCUGCUCGACGGCGUCAACGAGCGCCUGCUCACGGAGGAGCGGCACUACGUGAACCUGAGCCGGGGCCGCAUCCCCGCGGCGCGCGGCGGGGACGGCGCCUGCGACAUCUCCUACCAGAGGAUUUGCGUCGCGCUGGAGGACGGCGGGGUGAUCGCGCUCGAUUGGCCCGAUAAUUUGGACUUGGACAAGGAGCAUGGGUUGGAUUCUACGGUGCUCGUGGUGCCGGGAACGCCUGAGGGGAGCAUGGAGAGGAGCAUCAAGGUGUUCGUGGUGGAUGCGCUGAAGAAUGGGUACUUCCCUAUUGUGAUGAAUCCCAGAGGCUGCGGUGGUUCCCCACUCACUACAGCAAGGUGAAAAUUCUUCUGCACAUAUGGGUCUCUGAAUUCUUGCCCUUUUCUGUAAUUUGAAUGUGUUGGGAGUAACUCAUUGCCUUUCACAAGAAGUUCAUUAGUACCAGAACUAGAAGCUCGCAGUUACUUUUUAGGUGUCCAUUGCACUUAAAACUUCUCAAUUUUGUUCAUUGCUUGAUGUAUAGCACCAUAAUUGUGACUGUUCGCCCUGUGCUGAUAUAUGGUCAAUUCAAAAUAAGUGUGCCACAUAUAUGCUAAUAUUACUGCUGUCCAUUCUGAAGCCAGCGUACAAAGAGUUUAGACAUAGUAUUGCUUAUGCAACCUAGUGAUUGUAAGUACUGAAAUGCCACAGAACGUAUCUGGAUGAAUCUGUAGUACAAAAUCUUUGUCACUGGAGCACCAUGACUGCCAAGUUCAGAUAAUGUCAACCAUAAGUGUUAUCUUCUUACCUUCUAUUCUACUGAGCCAUUACCAAUCAUUGCUUACACUGAAAAUCUUGUGAUGUUGGAGCAUCAUGGACUCCAUUGCGAUCAAUCAUGCACUCACCUUAUUUAUUAAUUCAUUGCAUUAGCGUACCUCCUGAUGCUUGUACAUAUGUUUUAAUGUGGCAGUGAUGGAUAUUAGAUUGUAGGGCUUCUAAACUACCUGCUUAUGUAGGUUAUUUACGGCAGCUGACAGUGAUGAUAUCUGCACAGCAGUACGGUUUAUAAACAGCAAGAGGCCUUGGACAACACUAAUGGGUGUUGGAUGGGGAUAUGGUGCAAAUAUGCUGACGAAGUACCUUGUGGAAGUUGGAGAGUCUACUCCUCUUACCGCUGCUGUUUGUAUUGACAACCCUUUUGACCUGCAAGAAGCAACAAGAUCAUUUCCUCAUCAUAUUGCUCUUGAUCAAAAGCUCACGGCUGGCUUGGUGGAUAUUCUGCGUGCUAAUAAGGUUGUGAUCACCACUGCUCUCCCAAAAAAAUUGUCCCCCUUUCUACCAUGUGUUUUCAUGUGCACACAAUCUCCUCUGAGGUGGGCAUGUGAAUAUAUCAAUCCACUGAAUAUGUGGAAGGUCAUUAUAGAAAGUAGUCGUACUAGUCUCACUUCAGUUUUUUUUUUCCUAACUAGGAAUGUAAGCUGUACAAGUUGAGUUACUUAACCAACCAGCCGCUCUUGUGGUGAUGUCUAUGAUUCAUGGCACUUUCGCAAGUAUACCCUUUUCCCUGAAGUGUAUUUUGCUGAACAACUGAUAUCGUAUUCUUUCAGGAACUCUUUCAAGGUAAAGCUAAAGACUUCGAUGUCCAAAAGGCUUUAUCAGCCAGGAGUUUACGUGAUUUUGAUGGAGCGAUAUCCAUGGUAUCACAUGGAUUUUAUACUCUAGAUGACUUCUAUUCUGAAAAUAGCACAAGGUUAUCAAUUGCCCGUGUGAAAAUACCUCUACUGUUUAUACAGGUAUAGUUCUAAACGUAGUCAACAUAAGCAUUAACACUUUUCAUUAGAACAAAAUCCAGUGCAUGCAUUGUUAACACUAUCUUUCAAGUUAUCUAAUUUGAAGAUAUGCUGUACUGCAGAGUGAUGAUGGGACUGUGCCACUUCUUUCAGUACCGCGCAGUUCAAUAUCAGAAAAUCCUUUUACAAGCCUUCUCCUUUGUUCUUGUGCACAUUCCAGUAUCUUUACCUUUCAGAGAUACACAGUGUUCUGGUGCCAGAAUCUUGCUUUAGAGGUAAGCAUUGUUUUAUUUAUUUUCUCUGAGACUCCAAAUGGAAGCAUUCUUGCACCACCGUCAAGCAGUAGACAUGUAUAUUUUGGUGUUAUUAACAAGAUUUCUUUACAAAAACUGCCAGCAACUGAUUUUGUAGAAGUAUUCCGUCUAAAAAUAGAUAAUUUGUUGAAGUACCAGUAACAUACUCCCUCCGUUUCAAAAUGUAGGUCGUUUUGGCUUUUCUAGAUACAUAGAUUUUCCUAUGCAUCUAACUAUAGGAUUAUGUCUAGAUACAUAGUAAAAUCUAUGUACCUAGAAAAGCUAAAACGACCUACAUUUUGAAAUGGAGGGAGUAAAUAAGAUUGAUAUAGACCCACAAUCUCAAUUCCUUUUUUUUUCUCUUGCCUCUACAAGUGUUAUAGCAUUCAUGACUAUUGUAAGCAAAAUUAUUCAGUUGUGUUACUUGCACUGCCCCUUGGAUUUAACAUUGUUAUGUAUCUGUCCUGCACAUGCUUCUUCCAUUAUGUGCAUUUUCAGCUGGCAAGCUAAAUUGUUAUUUUGAUUUAUGCAGUGGUUGUCAGCAGUAGAGUUUGCUCUUCUGAAGGGUCGCCAUCCACUUAUAAAAGAUGUAGACAUCACAAUUAACCCAUCCAAAGGUCUAGCAUUUGUUGAACCUCAAGUGAAUGAGAGGAAAGCUCAAAAAGGCAGUAGUUUUCGCCCUCCAUCUGAGCUUAUUUUGUAUAAUAAUGUUCCUCAUGGAAUUAAUGGCCUGCUAAUCGAUUCUGCAAAAGAGUAUUCCGGUGCUGAAAACAAAGAAAAGGGGCAGUUGAAAAAUAUUGGUGACAUAGAAAGUGUAAACAUAGAUCCAGAAGAAGAGUCAGAAGAGAGUUCUGAAGAUGUUGAAAAAGGCCAGGCACUUCAAUCAGCAAGUCUUGUGAUGAAUAUGCUAGAUGCUACAAUGCCUGGUACUCUUGAUGAUGAUCAGAAGAAGAAGGUAUGCAGACAUAUUAUAAAUCUGUACAGUUUGUAUCUGCAGUUUUCCUGAAGAUAAAAAAAUUCUAGUCACCCCUCUGUCCUAAAUAUAGGGUAUUGGAUGGAGUAUUGUAUUAGCUUCUAAGUUUGCUUUAUUUUCCCCCUUUUGUGCUUUUACUCUAAUUGCAUAAACUAUAAUUUAAUGUAGUUUGUCUUAUCCUUUUCUCUUUUUUUAUGCUAUUUUUUGAGUGAGUACAUAAGAGUGAUGAUUUUUUUCAUAAGUAUACAAAUUUUGUUUAACAACUAAAACUAUGAUUGAUUGUUUCUGGGGAAGGUAUAAAUAUUGCCUGCUAGAGUCUUGUGACGUAUAUUGAGAUUUUGCUUACAUUUCUGUUUCUUGUUAUAAGGUUCUGGUUGCAGUGGAGCAAGGUGAAACUCUUGUGAAAGCUCUAGAGGAAGCUGUACCUGAAGAUGUGCGUGGAAAACUUACAGCUUCUGUGACUGAAAUUUUGCAUUCCAAACGAGAAAAUUUCAGUUUGGAUGCAUUGAAGCGACUUGGCUGGAACAAUGUAAGACCAACCACCACUAAGGCAGUGGCCCAGGAAAAGCUCAAAGAUUCAGAUCAUGAAAGUGGGCUUAAGGAUGCCAAAAUGGCUGAUCAGAACAGGAGUUCUGCAACUGCUGGUGAUGGGGGUCAGAAAGACAUUAACAUAACAAAUGAUGACAAUCCGGGAGAAAGCAUCGAUUUAUCACAAGGAAAGCCUUCCCAAACUUCUGGAUCUGUUGGAACUGCAAGAGAAACGGGAAAUGAACAAACCCAACCCAAUACAUCAGAUAAAUCUAACUCAGGAACCAAUGAUAGCAGUGAAGAACAGCAUAGGACAGAGCAGGGCAGUGAAACGACUCCAAAAAAGCCUUCCCAAACUUCUGGACCUGUUGAAACUGCAACAGAAACGGGAAGUGAACAAACCCAACCCAAUACAUCAGAUAAAUCUAACUUAGGAACCAACGAUAGCAGUGAAGAGCAGCAUAGAACAGAGCAGGGCAGUGAAACGACUACAAAGAAAGCUUCCAAUGAUCAUUCAGCAGCCAACUCAAAUGGGGCUCCUACAGAAAGGGGGCAUCCAGUCGAUCCUACAACAGACCAGAACCCACAAUCCCAUGCAAUAGAAAAGGAAGGUGACACAAUUCGCACGAGUGAAGAUAAGGCUGCUCAUAAUAUGGAUGAUCAAAGCACGCAAGUCUCUAAAACAGAAGAAUCAAAACCUUCCCCAAUUACUAUGACCCAGGCUUUGGAUGCAUUAACUGGAUUUGAUGACUCAACUCAAAUGGCUGUCACUAGUGUAUUUGGAGUCCUUGAAAAUAUGAUCGAUCAGUUUCAGAAACAACAGGACUCUGAGAAUGGGGAAAAUUCUGAUGAAAAUGAUGGUGACCCUUCCGUGGAUGAGACAGAAUCUCAUGGAAAGGAGGAUAUGAAGAAUGCAUCAAGUGGAGAAGAUAAAAUCCAAUCAUCUCAGCAACCAGAAGAUAGCAGUCCUGGAUUAAGUCAUUCAAUCAUGUCUAAGCAUGAUUACGCUUUUGCUGAGGAAAAUCCCAAUUUAAGCAUUGUUUCAUCUGGUCGAGGAAAAAUGAGAUAUUAUCGAGGACAUGAAGCUGGUGAUCAUGUGGAUACUGAUGGUAUGAAGCAGGUCGGUAGCUUACCUGAUUAUUUAUUAGAUAUAGCUGUCAACUCUUACUUGAAGGCACAGUAUACAAUGUACCUUCAUGAAUUUCUUAAUACACAAUUGCAACUCAAAUCACCAGAGCCUAAUUCAGCAACAGAUCUUGUUCUCGAUCCACAAGAGGGUAAAUGGAAAAUAGCAGAUCAGAUGCACAAUGUGCAUAAUGACAUUUCUAAAUCUGGUAGAUAUAAUGGAGCCAUGGAGGAGGUCAGUUAUGCUGGAUCCACAGAAGAGCCAUCUAAAGUGGACAAUGUUGUUGAGCCACCCUACUUCAUACCAGGAAAGUUUCCAGACCCAGCAUACAAGUCAAAUGCAUUCAAAAAUACAGUAGCAGCCAAAUCAAAACCUGGUGAUGAUUUGAGGGAGGCACUUGCAUGCUUCAUCAGAGAUGAACUAUUAAGCGCCCUCAAAAUUGAAGUUGGUCGCAAAAUAGGGAUAACAGAUACUAGCCAACUUGAAAGAGGUCUUGCAAAUGAUUUAGAACACGUUGCUGCUGAAGUCUCCAAGCUUAUCGUGCUUAACUGCGAGUUAUAUUCAGCGGCACAUGUGCAAAGAAGUCCAACAACUGUCAAAUUUGGUUCAACAUACGGAAAACAUGUCGUUCAAGCUGUAGCUACUGCAGUUCAGCAAUCUCAGCAUCUGAGGAUCAUUCUUCCUGUGGGUGUCAUAGUUGGUGUAACUUUGGCAUGUUUGAGAAAUUACUUCCAUGUUGAUGUCUCUAAGCAUGAUGACCAUAUGAAAGCCAAUGUGAAGUCGAAUAUUUUGAGUGAGGAUCUUAUUGUUCAGGAUAUCAGCAGAGCAAAUAUUCAGGAUAGUGGUGAAGCAAAUACAGAUAAUAAUAUUGAAAACGCUCGUGAGGACAACCAUCAGGAGGUGACAAGGACAAAGGGUCAAGGUAUGAUGGUAGGGGCAGUCACGGCUGCCCUAGGUGCUUCCGCUUUGGUAGCACAUCAUCAGGUAAGUAAACUAAUAUCCAGGUUCAUUUUUUUUAUUAUACUGCAUUAGAGUCAUGCUGAAUUUUUUAGAUUAUCUAACCUUGCUCCUUCUUGUUGGAACAUUCCCUUCUAAUACAUGCAACUUUCAUAAGCAGGAAAAUAAGGAUGAAAAUAAUGAUGGCAAGGAUGAAAUUCAGAAUGCCAAGCAUGAGGAAACUACACAGGAAAAGGGCCAGAACAAUUUGAUGAGAAGUUUUACUGAGAAAGCCCUAUCUGUUGCAGCGCCGGUAGUUCCCACAAAGGGUGAUGGUGAGGUUGAUCAUGAAAGGUAUGUUAAUGUUACAGUUUUUUUCUCCUUUUCCAUUAUCCUUUUUUUUUCCUUUGUUCUCUGUCAAUGCGCUUAUCAUGUUUUGACUUUCUGCAAGCAGGAUUGUUGCAGUUUUAGCUGAACUUGGACAAAAAGGUGGAAUUUUGAGGUUCGUUGGAAAAUUUGCUCUACUCUGGGGCGGAAUUCGUGGUGCUAUGAGCUUAACAGAUAGGCUUAUCUCAUUCUUACGUAUCAGCGAACGACCCUUAUAUCAGAGGUUAGUUCUAUGUUUUAACGCGCAAGAGACAAACAAUUGAAUAGAAAAUGAGCAUUUAAUUCAUGUUCCUUAAUCAGAUGGAUUAUGUUAGUAGUUAAUAAAAUUUCUAAUAUAUCCUGGUGCAUCUGAGUUUCUCUCGUAUACUAUUUUGAGUGUCCACGCCUGUUCGUGUUGAGUCUGGGUUUGACAUGCUUUUGUGUGACAAUGGUGGUGCAUGAUUAGUGUUUUUCAGGUGUUCCUCCUCCCUGUGGGAGUCUGCCUGGGAUGGUUAAGUUGUGCACACCAUUUAUCUUUCCAAUGAAUGGACAAAGCUCCAGCCCGACCUCUUUCAAAUAGAUAUAGAUACAUUUCCUCUGUUCUCGUUGAAAAAAUAAUUAUUGGCAUUUCUAUUGUUCUCAUUUUAAUUGUUAUUUUGUGUUUUCAUUUCCCUGAAAAAAAAUGUAUGUCUACCAAAAGCAUAAUGACUCUUUGUUGUUGAUUCAAUUUCGCUAGAGAUGAUCAAUCAUAGACCACUGUCCCUGUCUUGCCUUCUAGCAACUUAGCCAAGCCAAAAUCAUUAAAAAAAAAAUACUUGAAUGGUCCUCCCGAAAUGCCAGAAUGUAGUAAAAAUUUAGCAGGCCCUAGAUUCUUCUGUUAUAACUACUAGGUUGAAUUCUUUUGGUUUGAUUUUGCUAAUUUAUGUAAUUGUGUUUUUUUCCGAAUACCCUAAUUUAUGUUUUCUUCUGUACUAGUUCCAAUAUGUUUUCUUCUGUACUAGCUCCAAUAUGUUUUCUUUGCCUUCAUUUGAUAUGGGUGCUGACAGAUGUUGCCCUUUUAAGUUUUCUUUUGGGUAAGCAAACAACAGGCAAACAUUUUUUAAUGCUGAAACUUUACUUUCUAAAGAAAAUUCCAUGACCAUUAAUUUCACCUUUGUGCAUCAAAAAGUCAGAGCCUUACAUUUAAUUUUUUUGCUAUAAGAAGCAGUUGGAGUGCUAUCAGUCAUUGGCUCAUUCUUGAGUAGCACUACAGUAGUAGUAGUAGUUGUUGUUACUUGAGCCAUGGUUUUGGUAGACUUAGUUCUCUACCUGUUACUGUCAUUGUAUAAUACAAGUUUGUCGCUUGAUGGAUUAGUCAGGUGAAUUUUCACCAUUGUAGGCAUGUCAUACUUUUUGUUCCUAGGCUGUCGUUAACUUGUGCCUUCUUUGCAUUCAUAGGAUUAUGGGCUUUUCUUUAAUGGUUCUCGUCCUAUGGUCCCCUGUUGUGAUUCCUCUACUGCCAACACUUGUUCAAAGUUGGACAAUAAGCGCUUCAACUGGGAUUAUUGGAUAUGCUUGCAUUGUUGGAUUGUAUGUAUCUAUAAUGAUACUUGUCAUGCUAUGGGGCAAAAGGAUACGGGGCUAUGAGGAUCCAGUUGAGCAAUAUGGGAUGAACGUUUGGUCUGCAUCUAGGGUAUAGAGUUCUCAUCUCUUAUAGCCAACUUGUUUUUCUUAGAAGAACUCAGAGUGAUGAUUUAUGCAUGUAUAUAACAACUAACUUUUUGUUGCAGCUGCAAGAAUUUUUUCAAGGUCUGGUUGGAGGUGUAAUUAUUGUAGGAUUGGUGCACUCAAUAAGCAUUCUGCUUGGUUUUGCAACCUAUCGGACAGGGUUACCUUCAUCUUUAUCUAGACCCCUUGAUCUUAUCAAGUCUUCUAGUAAUGUGUUCAUGCUAGCACUUAGAGGGUUCGCAACAGCAACUAGCAUUGCCGUGGUGGAAGAAAUGGUUUUCAGAUCGUGGCUUCCAGAGGAAAUUGCUGUUGACCUCGGUUACUACAAUGCCAUUCUGAUAUCUGGACUUGUGUUUUCUCUAAUUCAUCGGUAUGUCAAUUCUUUCCCACUAUCACCUGUUUUGUCACCGCUUUAUUGAUCUGUACGUGGUUCAUGCCACUGCUGGACUGCUGGUGAAUGCUUAAGGCAGUCAUUACUAGACUUACCGCAUUUAAUCAUUAUGCUACUAAGUAUUAAUUCUGUGAUGCAUAUAUAUGAACUCAUUUUGGUAGUACACAAGCAUGAUUCACUUGUGUGAAGCAUUAAAAAAGUUUGUGACAACAAUACGAUUGAAUGGCAGGUCACUACCCUCAGUACCAGGUUUCUUGCUACUUUCUCUGGUGCUUUUUGGACUUAAGCAGAGGACACAAGGGAAGCUUGCCGCACCUAUUGGCCUGCGUUCUGGAAUUAUGACUGCUAAUUAUCUAAUACAAAGCAGUCGUGUUAUAAUAUCCAAACCUGAAACUCCAUUUUGGAUUAUUGGCACCUACCAUCUGCAUCCUUUCGAUGGUGUUAUUGGCUUAAGUAUCUGCUCUUUGCUUGCUAUACUUUUCUUCCCCCAAAAGCCUGUUCAGAAGGAUAAAUCUGUGUGAUGAGAAUCUAAAGAGUAAAUAUUACUCUUGAUAUAUAGCUGAUGGAGUGAGCUUUGAACAAGGAAUCACCUCUGCACAUGUGAGCAAUGAAGGGUUGCUCUUGUACACCAUGUUAAACUGCAGCUCGAUGUUUUGAUGCACCACAAAAGGUACACUCACAGUUAGCUCCUUGCUCAUCAGACCAAGAGGCCUGCUGAAUGGAAUGGCUUCGGAUAUGUUAUUGGAGCAUUCAGGCGUUUAUGCUUGGCAAGUGUGUAUACUACUCUUUUCUGGACUAUCCAAACGGGUAUGGUUUCUUCCCUGCGUUGUAAGGUUUGUAUCUUAAGUACAGUUUUACUUUCAUAUUUGGACGGGAAAUUGACCUUUCAUUUUACUGCCCUAAAAAUUUCUAACUCUUUCCCCUGUUACCAUGAAUGCAGGCAGGGUUGAAUGAAAUGACCUAAUUGGUUGUAUAUGCUUAAGGGAGAGAAACUAGCAGAUAAUAAGAGUCGCUCCUGACUUAGAUCUAUGAUUUCUUCACACCGAUUGACUUCUAGGUUUUGUCUGUUGAUUACAAACUGUACUUGUGUUCAUGAAUCUUUGAACACGAGCACACCAAAGUUUUGAGAUAGCAAAUUUUGCCAACAUAUACUGUGUAUAGAAAGUAGCUCCGGUAUAAGGACAGUGUUAGCUGAUUAGUUGGUGCAUCUCCCCGCACCCCUGGUUCAGUCAAUGUUACUGUAUAGCUGUAAUGUUACUCCAACUGUAUAUAUAACUGUAAAGCUGAAUGUAGUGAGGUUUGCAUGGGAAAUGGCCAUGCGUCAUACCUGCAAUGCUUUUAGGUAAUUUCUCAUUCAGAAAGUCAUGUCUUUCGUCCUUGGCAUAAUCUUCUGUAAAAUUAUAGCACUGUUCGUAGUGUGCAUCUGAGUUCUGAUUCAGCUUGGCCUUUGCAGUUUUGUAAUGUUGCCAAGAAAUCAGGACGAGAUGAUGCCGCAUCCGGUUAAUGUGGGAAUUUUACCUGAAUUUUACAGGUCAUUGCUCAAAAGUUCUGUACGAAUUAUACAAGUAAUGGCUUAGAUUUGCGGGAUUCGAAGGUCCCGUGGCAUCGAUUUAUCCGGAAGCCGGCAGAGGAGAAAUCUGGAAGAAGCAGCUACGCAACAGGCAACGCAGGUUUCGUCGAUGCGUGGCUUGCAGAGCCAUUGGACGGGCCGAAGUCCUUGGCUGACAGCCUCCGGCGUGAUCGGACGAUUGCCACGAAGACAAGUGGCGUCGCAGGUCCACGGCAGAAAGGCGCGGCCGCGCCGCGGGCCUCGUGGCGAAACCGUCAGCUCGUGUUCAUUUCCGCUCCCCGCCUCACCUCACCGCGCUCACCUGCUCUUAUCAUGGCGGCGGCGGCGGCGGCGGCUGCUCACCUCCUCUGCCCCGCACCGGCCGCCUCUCCAGCAAAAUCCCGGCAAUUCCCUACCCGCGGCCGCCGCGCCAAACCUUCGAGAUGCUUCUCCUGCCGCGCGUCCCUCGGCCCCGACGGCUCGCUGGCCAUGCUCGGGGUCCCCACUCCCAGGCCGGCGCCGCCGAUGAUGAGGCCGUACCUGCGGGAGCACUCUUGCCUCAUCUUUCCGCCCCCGCGGGGCCGCCGCCCACUCGCGGUCGUCAAGUUCCUCGGCGGAGCCUUCAUCGGCGCCGUCCCCGAGGUCACCUACGGGUAAGUGCGUUGCGCCAGCGUAUGGGGUUCCAACUUCCAUCCGAUCGCACUGGAACGCGAAACGUGUUGAUUCGGUUUUGGCUCGCAUCCGUCGGCUUGUGGCUCAUUCGCGCGGCUGGUUUGCUCUGCUCGCAGCUACCUGCUGGAGCUCCUGGCGCGGGAGGGCUUCCUCGUGGUGUGCGUGCCGUACAACGUCACCUUCGACCACGAGGCCGCCGCGAGGGAGGUCUUCGGCAGGUUCCACGCCUGCUACGACGCGCUCCUCGCCUCGGGGCUCCCGGAGGCCGGGCUGACCGCUCCGGACAUCACGGAACUCCCGCUCUACUCUGUUGGACAUAGGUGGUUCCAGCGCGCGCCACUUGUUCGAUGUUUUGACAGAGGAAAUCUCGAGCUCUGUUUUGUUGGUGGCGUGUACGAUGCUUGUUUAAUUAUUGUAUUGAUGGUUUGCAGCAACGGGGCGCUGCUUCAGCUGCUGGUGGGGAGCUACUUCUCAGAAAGGAUACCAAAGGUCUGCUUAUGUUUUGUUGGAUAAAGAAUCCGCAUAAGUUUCUGUUUUCUUGAAUAGUUUAGUAUAAUGAGUGGGCAAGCUUGAGUUCCUUAAAAUUGCAUAUAAUCUGAUAUUGUUCUGACUGCUGAGUGGCUUUGAUCUUAUUUCUCCAUUGGGUUCUGCUCAUUUUAGGCUAACGCCAUUGUCUCAUUCAACAAUAGGCCAGCUUCGGAGGCUGUUCCUUACUUUGAACAGGUAUUUAGUCUGGGCUUUCUUACGUCUUACCUUAUGAUUGAUGUGGGUGCCUUUUUCCGUUUCAUGACUUACAAUUUUCCCUACAUAAGACUCAUGCUACCAAGUUACUGAUGCUGACUAUCAAGCAUAGAAAUCAGAGUAAGUUUCUGGAAUUAUCUGUAAGGACCAGUAGAGAAAUUGAUACUGAACUUUAUAAUUAACUGUGACUAGGAGAAAAUCUGGACCUAAAAUUAGUAGUAGGCAUAAAAGUUACCGGUUCAACUCGUCUUACUAGUCAGUAGUACCUGAAAAUUAAGGAAAGAAGGUUAUUGAUUGUAGGCUAACUGAGUGCCAAUGUAAUGUUUAACAAUGUAAUGUUUUUCUAAUUGAACAUAAUGCGUCUGUGUGACCAAGUAGUUGACACUUGAAUAUCUAAAUUUGAGCUGCCCCCCACACCCCCCCGGGCGCCCCCACCCACCCAAACCCCCCACCCCCCUUCCCUCCCUCCUCCCAAAUGUGCAUGAGAGCUGUGAAUCAUUGCAUUAAGCAUAAAACUAGCUUCAAGUUUUCAGACAUGCUACAGUAACAGUGUAGUCAAUGUGGCAACAGAUUGGCUUAACAUCAUAGUCAAUAAUAUUUGACACUGGCUAGGCCAACCUGUGCUCAUGCGUCUGACCUUGCUUCAAACUGUGCUUAUGUCGAUCACACCUGCGAUCCCCUCAUAACCCCCAAAAUGUAGCUGUUAUCUGAUAUUGUACCACAGCCAUUACUAUCAUGUGCUUUGUUUGUCUGAUGUUUUUUGUGGAUUAGCAUUGUCACUUUCAGCCAAAAAGGUAAAUUAAAAUACUUCCAUUGCAGUUGGCCGUCGAAAGCAUUUUGUGUUCACAUUCAGCCAGUCCAUUGUGAAGUGGGGGCAAAAGUUCUGGAUCAGUUAGCAAAAAGCAUCAUGAGCCUGCAGCAUUUUUUGGCAACGAAAAAGUCUUAGCAUUGUAUCUGAGGAACAUAUGCAAAUCAAUACUUCAAUUCCAAGUUUCCAAAACACAAUUUGCAUUUAGAGCUGAUUUCAGUCUAAAAUGUUAAAUGCUUCCUUGUGUUCCUACUGUUCUUUUGAAGUUAUACUCUCUUAAUAGUAUAUUUUUUUUGAGUAAAGUCCAUUUUUAACCAUCCAAUUAUCACCUAAGUUUGGUUUUGAUCAUCGAACACCAAAACCAGAAAUUUUCGACCAUCCAACUAUCAAAACCAUUCACAUUUGACUAUCGGGCUGUUUUGGUGGGUGGUUUUGCUGACGUUGAUGCCACACAGCAAUGGGACCCACAUGCCAUCACAUCUUCUCUCUUCUCUCCACCUCAACAGUUGGGCCCCACACGUCAUCCCCUUCCUCUUCCUCCUUCCCCUUCCUCUCUCCCCCUCCGCCUGCUGCUAGCCUGGUGCGCGCGGGCGCCGAGGUGUAGUGGGGUGGUGGUCCCUCGUCAGGCGCGUGCGCGCGAAGGUGAAGCCCGCGGCUCCGGCGCUGCAGCGGCGACGCGGAGCCCAGGGACCGCGGCUCCGGCGCAGCAAGGGGUGGGCCCCCACUCUCAGCCGGCCAGCAAGCGACAUGGCGGCGGCUGGGCCCUGCAAACACGACAUGGCGGCAGCAGCUGGUAGCGGGCAAAGGAGUAGAGAGAGGAAGGCGCUUACGAGCUUGCGAACAGUAGGCGCGAGGGAGGCGAGCGAGGUCAUGGCGUAGGGGAGGACGCGAUCGAGCACCGCCGCGAGACGGGCGUCGUUGGCGAGGGCCAGCUGCGUGAGCAUCCGAUCCAGGGCAUCCAUCCUCUCCGCUUCUGUCUGCUCCACGACGGCGGGUGCGGCCCCGGUGGAUGGCGCCGGCUACUCCGCCUUUUUUCCGUCGGAUGGGUGUUGGAGUCGCGCCUCGCCAGCGCCCCCCUUUUUUUGGCACAAGAAGGUGAGAAGAGAAGAGGAAGGGGAAGGGGAAGGAGGAAGAGGAAGGGGAUGACGUGUGGGGCCCAACCGUCAGCGAGGUGGAGAGAGAAGAGAGAAGAUGUGCUGACAUGUGGGUCCCAUUGCUAUGUGGCAUCCACGUCAGCAAAACCACCCACCAAAACAGCCAAAACCACCCACCAAAACAGCUCGAUGGUUAAAUGUAAACGGUUUUGAUAGUUGGAUGGUCGAAGGUUUCUGGUUUUGGCGUUCGAUGACCAAAACCAAACUUAGGCGAUAAUUGGACGGUCAAAAAUGAACUUACCAGUUUUUUUUUUAUACAGAUAGGCCCUCUUUUUAGUCAAUUGAUGCCUAUGAUGGAGGCCUCGUCAGUUUACUCAGUGGCCAGAAAUGCAUCAGGUGAUUGUUGGUUUACUACUUACCUUCUCACGUUAUCUGUCAUUUAUCCAUUUGGUCAAAAUUUCUUCUGGCUGAAAGCGCCAUAAAAUACUUAUGCUUUAACGCAAGCUUUCCAUAUGGAUCCAACAAUCAAGCAACCUGAAAACCGCGUCUGGGGUUGAUGUCUUGCUCUUAAUUAUAGAUUGUAGCUUCUUGAGUUCAGUGCUUCAUGGUAUUAUUGCUGCUGCCUUGUGUAAUGACAUAAUUUUGUGAGGUGGUAAAAGUGCAACUUGUAUGCUGACAUUUGUUAAAUGAAAGAGUGAGAAUGGGACGUGAACUUUUGCUUGAUAUGCUUCAUGAACUGUUAUAAAACAAUGUUAUGCCAUGACUCUAGGAGAUGCAUGGAAAGCUCUAUUUGAUUUAGCUGGAGGUUUUAUACGUGAGUAUGAUCAAGAAGCUAUGGUAUCCCUGAGCAAAUUUGUUGAUCAGUUACCAUCGGUAAUGAAUCAGGUACUGUAUGAUCUAAGUUUGUCUAUUAUUAUUUUUUGCAGAGUAGUUCUUCUUUUUCUUAUUUAACUGUGCUUUGGUGCUACCUUGCUGUGGUAGACUUCUAGUGAGCUUCAGUGCAUAUUUGUCAUGAUGAUCGCUGUUUCCCAUAUUAUGUACAGGUUACAGAAGGUGUGUCUGAAUUCAAACCAACACCACCUGAAAACCGUGAAUUCUGCAAGAAUUCAUACAGCGUACCCAAUACAUUAUUGGUACUGACAAACUUGCAUCUGCUAAAUUUAACCUCUGGCUGUUAUAGUGUAGUGUUAAAAAAUUUUAUGUAUGUCUUUGUAGGUCAAAUUCAGUGUUGAUGCUAUUGAUGAUACAGACAUAGUUGAAGAUGUCCUGAGACCCCGAGUAGACUCAUUUGGUGGACAAAUAAAGAAAAUCGUACUGCUGGGGACACAUCUAACUCCAUGUAUACAGGUAUAAUAUGUGCAUGAGCAUCACCCUGCUAUUCAUUCACCCCCAAUAAUAGUCUCCACUUGUUGACAGAAUUAGGAGUGGAAGCAAGCAAACUGAUGUUUAAUUAGAUCAUUGCUUCAUACUAAAGAGAGUUUAUGUGCUCGUCUACCAUUUCCGAAAACUAUUGUGUGUUUCAGGCGUAUCAGGCACUCACCUUUACUGGUUUACAGGAUGUGAAAUGGCAAGUUGGUUCAGAAUACACUCCAGCAGAUGCUCUUGCCCAGGGAUUGAAAUCAUUGGCUCUGAAUGAAACAAGGGUCCUCUCAAGAACUAUUGCUGAUUGGUUUAGAUCCCUUUAAAAUUUUGAAUUAGUCAAUACAUCCAUUGAAGUUCGGAAUUCUUCUUACAUAGGUAUGUACUGAUGUAUCUAGAGUUCAAAUUCACUGGUUCAAUUUACAAUUACAGAAUUUCAAACCUUUGGGUUAUGUUACUUGGGUAAAUACAUCAGGACUAGGAGAAACCAACUGCAUCACUCAUCCAGUUACUAUCUUGAAAAAUGAUUUACUUACGUCGGAUCUUGGAGAAAUCUAUGUAGAAUCAAUCGUAUGGUCUCAUUUACAUCCAACUAACUUUGGUGCAUGCAUCAGGAAUGCUUCAUCAGUUCUCCCACUUUGCUGAUGCAGUCGACUGAGGCUGGCAUUGUAACAAGAUAUCAGAGUACAAUGUAUGCAUCCUCUUAAUUAAAAAAGCGGCGGUGCGGUCUGCUCCUUCCCGUCAAGUUUUUUUUUAGAGUACAAUGUAUGGUACAUAAGAGCAGUGCAUUUGGGGUGUGUGCUGAUUUGGUCGUGCUCGCCCACAGGCAGCCGCCGUACUACAAAUAUCUAUCUGAUCAAGAUGGGGUGUUUCAUGUUUGGGGCCUACUCGGAUUGUAGUUGCAGGCUAUACAAUGCACUCAACCCAAAGUCCAAGAAACAUGAUCCUGUUUGAGGUACGGUGCCAGCAAGGCCAAGUUGGCCAAAUGCCCCCUGCUACACCCGGACAAGCACAAUCCGGCUUGCUGCAGGCUGGCGAAAAGGCGUCAUAGGUGUAACAGGAAAUGUGUAUAUAUUGCCACAUUGUAUUUUCUGGGCAUGCACUUAAUAAUCUAGCUCACCGACUCACCGUAUAGCUCAGGCAAUUGGAUUGUUUGGGGGUUUUCGAUUGCUGUGUGCACUAGCAGACUGGUUCUGUAUCGAGUAUGUUCAUCCCGUGCAUAUGCUGCAAGGACUGGAUGCUGGCCUGGAAACUGACCGAUUUGGCUGACGUUUCCUGUUGUUUCAACUUUCAAGUUUGUGCAGGUACAGGAAUCCGUCUACGUCCAGGAAUUGUACGAGGUUAAUACGGUCUACAAAUACAAUGAGCCUGUUCGCUUCAGCUUAUUCAGCCGGCUUAUCAGCCACCAAACAGUAUUUUCCUCUCACAACAAAUCAGCCGUUUCAGCUUUUCAGCCGGCUUAUAAGCUGAAGCGAACAGGCUGAAUAGGGUCUGAUUUUCAUCAGCAGCAUCAGUGCAGUUUUGAUAAACGUCCAGCAAAUGGGACCAGCGUCUCGUCGUAAGCCGACCAAAUCUCUGGGGAAAUCUGGCCAGUUCAGGAUAUGCUGGGAUCGGGCACCCCCAGGCCAAUCAGAUAGUCUGGGUACAGCGCUUAGGGGUGUUGGGGAGGAGGGCUUAGGGGUGUUGGGUAGGAGGGCUUAGGGGUGUUGGGUAGGAGGGGGUUAAAUUUUAGCUCCCGUCACAUCGAAUGUUUGGACAUCAAUUAGGAGUAUUAAAUCUAAAUUAAUUACAAAACUAAUUACACAACCCCUAGGCUAAAUCGUGAGACGAAUCUAUUAAGCCUAAUUAGUCCAUGAUUUGAUAAUAUGGUGCUACAGUAACCAUUCACUAAUGAUGGAUUAAUUAGGCUUAAUAAAUUCGUCUCGCGAUUUAGUCUAGGGGUUCUACAACUUAUGUUUAAUCCUUCUAAUUAGUAUUCGAAUAUCCGAUAAGCUCUCCUCCCAAACACCCCUUGCCGCGGGUCACGUCAUCGAAUAGAACAUGAAGACUGGACUGCGUUUGAAAAUGACAGGCAUCUCGCUAUCAGUGUCGAUCAUAUUGCAGAGCAGAGGUCCUCACUGCACGUCAUGUCACCUUGCACGCUGCGAGAUUAUUUAGCUCUAAAGGUAGAGGGUGUUUGGGAACACCCUGUUAAAGUUUAACACCUGUCACAUCAGAUGUUUGAAUGCUAAUUAGGAGUAUUAAACAUAGGCUAAUUACAAAACUAAUUGCACAGAUGGAGUAUAAUUCGCGAGACGAAUCUAUUAAGCCUAAUUAGUCCAUGAUUUGACAAUGUGGUGCUACAGUAAUCAUUUGCUAAGGAUGGAUUAAUUAGGCUUAAUAGACAAUUAGUUUUAUAAUUAGCUCAUGUUUAAUCCUCCUAAUUAGCAUCCGAACAUCCGAUGUGACACUGUUAAAGUUUAGCAUCUCGUAUCCAAACAACCCGUAGUCUAAAGGUAGUAGUAAGGUACGUACAUACCCCAACUGAAACCGUAUAUUUCCCGUGUGACGGCCCAGUGCUCUCAUUGUACGUGCCUGCCCGUCUAUACUCGUAUUUGCAGUUCUACUACUAGUAGGUUAUUGUGAAGAGAGCAUUCACUGCAGUGUGCACGCUCACCUAUGAACCGCAUCGGCGAACCGAACAAUCCAGGGAGCUGAGACGUGACAGGCAACGCCCCCCAUACUGCACGCAACUUGGCCGACCGCGGCGCGCGCCGUCGCGUCGAUGCGCCCUCACGUACCGUGCACAUCGGAGACGCGAUUCCCCGUGCCCGAUCCCGGCAGCUUGCGAGCGCCCCAAAUCGCAACGAGAGAGAACACGCGCGGCGGCGCGUUGUCCGCGGCAUGGUGCGGACUCGAUCAUGAGAUACGCUGGUGAAUGGUGCUAUCCUCGCGCCGUCGGCCGGGUCGCGGAUGACAUGGCAUGGCAUGUGCAGGGCUGCGGUUUAGGGCGUUAGGAUUCUCAAGCAAGCCUGCUUACGCUUCAGGCUACCCUCGCCGGCCGGCGGCUACCGGACGACGGGAUGGGCCGCCGUUCACAGCGAGGCAGGGUCACAUCACGCCGCCCCGAUCUCAUGCGCGUGCACAUGCACUUGCACGCACGUCUCGUAGACACUCUAGGGAAAAUAUUGGGUACGUGCACGUAUGUUGUGUACAAGUCCUCAAGCAACAUGAGUUCGUGCUUUCUCACGCUGAACAUGAGAAACACAUAAUGCUUAAUUCUUGUAUAGGCAAGCUGUGGACCAUAACACACCAGCCAUCUGGCCAGGCCAAACUCCUACCAGUUGAAGGCUCCAAGAUUUGAAGGCUCGAUCCAGCAGCUAGCUAGCUAAUGCUGAUGAGUACGCAUUAAUGCAGCCGAACUUCCACACACCUCUUUUGGCAAAGCAACCCGAGGAAGGAACUGGCUGCAUUGCCCUGUACGACUAGCUCACCGAUAACACUCGAGCUUAUACAAGCACGCUGCACACGCAGCAGCACAUGCCGAGCUAGGAACCCAAACCGGGAGGAACAUGGCCGGGUCGAUACGAUGCACGUGUCCUGCUACCAGAUACCAAUUCCCUGGCGUCGCAUACGGUACGUGCCGCUGGCGUUCAACAACAAAACAUUGACCCGCUGCGUGCCCUGCAUGUUCCUCUGUCGAGCGAAUCCGAUGCAUGCAACCGUGUUCAUAGCGCGAGAGCGACUAAACGUGGACGGGCGCUUCAUUCUUCGCCACACACUGCACGUCGGUGCAACGCAACCGGCGGCCAAUCGAAACGUUUCUCGGGAUCGGCGCGAGCUGCUGCUGGUGGCUGCUGUGCUGCGACGGCGCGUCGUCGUGUCCUCUUAUCUCUUCGCUGGCCGCCUGCCAGCAAAGGUGAUGACCCGACAUGGCACAUUGCGCGCCCACUCGCCGCUCCAUGGUCCCCUUAACAAUGCAUCUGUUUCAGCAGAAUAGCAUGCAAUUGCACUGUGUUAUCACGGCCUUUGCUAAUAUGAGUCCGAGUUGCUAUAUAUAUAAAGUUGCACAAAAUUCCCCUUCUUUCUUUAUUUCUUUUUCUGUUUUGUUUUCUGAUGAAAGAGACCCUACAUAUACUUUGCUACCGAAAUUUGCAAUAAACUCCACAAAUUCUGAAAACUCUUGCAAAGCUAGAUUGACUUUAUUUCAAGUGUUAAUUUGAGUUAUAGGUACACCAACAAUAUACUCCCUCCGUUUCAAAUUGUCGGCUAUUUUUGCUCAUAGUUUUUUUUAAUAUGCUAGAUACAUAGAAAAAUCCAUGUCAGAUACGUAGAUACAAUUUGAAACGGAGGGAGUAUAUUAUAUUGCCAGUGCAGAUAUAUGUAUGGUCCAAACCAAUGCUGCCAAUGGUAUGACAAAAUGUCAGACGCAUAUGUGGACAUCUGAAAAACAAAGUAAGAUACUGAGUAUGGAGGAGGCGACUACCUAGCGCUAAUUUACAUCCAACAAAAAAAAACGUCCUUGUUGUUGUUAUCCUUAUUCUGUCUUGUACCUGCAAAUUUGAAUGAUUGGUAGUUGCAGUUGCAGCCGCGCCGCUUGGAUCAUUUGAUCGGUGGCAUUCUAUAAGAUGCAAAAAGAAAAAAAAAGGA
rnacentral:lncRNA from 1 species